UAUAUUAUAUCGUGUCUGUAUAUCAGUGUAUACAGACUGUAUAUCAGCCUGUUUUUUGACUUUCGAGAGUUUAAAGUCCCUUUCCAGAAGCAUAUUUUCACUUCCAUCAACCCAGAUUUUGGAUUAGGCCUCCUGUGCACAUUUCAAACUGUAUAUCAGUGUAUAACGGAUGUAUACAGCUGGUAUACAGCUUCUCAAAUCUGCAAAACUUGCUUUCCAGCACUGAAGCUGCUGGUUUUCCGACCUGCAAAUUAAUUUCCAGCAGCUCUCUUCUUUUGUUCAACCUGUACGCCAGUUUUGAGGGGGUCUACGACUCGAAGAAUAUGUUUUGAGCCUUUACGGCUCCACGAGAGAAUGCAACGAGUUGGAGUAGAAUCCAUAAGGAUUCGAGAGGAGUUUCACAUGCGAUAAAAUAGAAGUAAGUUAACAUGUGAACGAUGACGUAAACCAGAUGUAUUUUGAAUGGAACGCAAAUAAAAGAAACACAUAUAACUUUAGAGAAGGCCGAAUGAAACCCAAACUAAGAAAAUUGAUCAAAGCUAAGGAAGCAAACUAAGCCUAAACAAUAGCAACUCAUGUUUGUCAUUAAGCAAAUUUAUCACUAAAGCAUGCAGUGAAUGAACAUGGAUCAUUAAAUUCAGGCAUACAAAGGCCAUUAAUUAGUCGAAUAGCUACCAACACAAACGAUAAAAUGCAUACCCGAGGACCUCACUGAGAAUAGCACUAUGAACUAGAGGGAUAAAAGGUCCAUUUUAAAGUGAGAUAGCAUGAAUGAAUCCAAGCAAACGACAAAACGUACAACACUAUUUGGCAACUAGAAUUUGAACUACCAACAACCAUAUUUCAGACGAAACGAGAUAAGAACUAAAUUAAGAUCGAACCAUACAAUUUCAAGAAGCACAAAUCGAAGUGUACCCCUCCCCUACGCACUUAGAAACUCAAACUAUUCCAAAGGGAAAAACACAUUAUAGCUCCAUAGGGAAUUCUUAGAAGAAGAAAGAAAGACAAACUUAAACAAGACUUGAACCAAAAUUUGUAUUCUAUCAGGCAACGAAAUCUUAUGCUAAGGCAAUAACCCAUGAUGAACAGAAGGGUAACAAAGCUUACAUAACAACAAUGAUGUAGUAGGGAACAUCAUAAUGGCAUUUGAGACAUAAUGCAAAUCGACGCUAGAAAUCGAAUCCGAUACUUUAAAUGCAAAUCACAAUGAAAUCCAUAACCCAUCAAUCAACAAGAAACCUCAAUACUAGACACAUUUACAGUAGAAGCAAACCAAAGUCGAACUCGAAUCGAUGAAUCAAACAAAGCUUAACUGAGAUAAAUUAACAUAAGCAUAAACUGUAUUUACCUUUUCGAAAGCAGCGAGCGGAAACGACGAGCGAGAUAGCAAGCUUCCACCACCGAAAUGAACUCCAAACGGUUCCAAAGGCGAAUCAACAAGCAGAAGAAACAGAAUCGCGGCUUUCAAUCUCCUUGAAGUCUCUUUCUUAAGUAUUCACACGUAAAUGUAUAUGAUUGAUUGUUUCUAGCCUUAAGGUAGAGAAAAGUUCUCCCAAAAAAAAUCCUCUCCCCCGUGACUGAAAAUCGAGGGUAUUUAGAGGGGGGAUCGCCAGGCUUCCCUUUGAAUUCGAAAUUCGAAAUUUUUUUUUUUUUCAAACUCAUUGCGUGCUGGCGAGGACGACUGCGACGUUUCGCAGACCUGCUUGACAGGGUAUGGGUCUCUGCGGGGUUGUUGGCGCGAUUUCUGGGGAGUUGACGCGAAGAAGAAGAAGAAGGAAAAGGGGGGUUUGCGUAGGUCUGCGUUUUCUGGAGAUUUUCCGGUUUUCUGGGUUUUAUGUCGAGAGGGGAAGGAGAGAGCGAGCGUGGGGGAGAGACGCGUGAGGGAGACGAGAGCGUGGGGAGAUUGAGGGAGAGAGCGAGAGAGCGUGGGGGAGACGCGGGGUUUUCCGGGUUUCGUUGUUGUUCUGGGUUUCUAUUUUGUUCUGGGUUUCUGUUGGGAAAAGAUUGAAUGGGGCUGAAGAAGAAAGGGGGGAAAACGGGUUAUUGGGGUUGGGUCAGGUGUUGGGUCGGGUUUUUGGGUGGUUUUGGGUGGUUGGGUUUGAAUUGGGUUGGGUUGAGGGGAAUGUUGGGUUUGAAUUGGGUUGGGUUGAGGUAAUUGGGCCUGGGAAUUAAUGUUGGGGCUGAUGGGUAAAGGAAUGGGUUUAAGAUAUACAUAUAUACACAUACAUAUAUGUAUAUAUGUACAUAUAUUUAUUUUCGCAAGGUUUAUAAAACUAACUAACUCAUACCGACGCGGGUCAAAAAUUAGGUGUCAACAGUAAGCGCAUAUACUUUUUCCGUCUUAAAAUUGUUUGACAGGUAUAUUCAAAAAUAAAUGUUUAAAAUUAGUUGUUCAUUUAAACAAUCAAGAAAUAAUUAGUUUUUUUUUUAAUUCUGCCUUUAAUAAUUACUUCAUUUUGUUCAAUUGAAAAAUUAUGUAAAUUUUUAAUAUUCUUAAUACAGUAGAAUUAUAUUAUCAAAUUACACCUUAUAUUAAAUUUUUCUUUAAAGAAAAUGCAUGAUCUACCCUGAUAAAUAAUUGUGGACGGAGAAAAGUAACAUGAUAGGGUGAUUACCAGGAAUUGGCUAAAUAAUUCAACUCUUAUCGUCUCUCUUAUGAUUUCGCUUUUGAUUUUUGGUGAAAUGAUUAUUAUCCGCUCAAAUUUUAACAAAGAAAAAAACUCUAAAUAAUCAUACACUUAAUUAAUAAUUUAAAUUAUAUUAAAUAUAAUCAGCAAAAAUUUCCCUAUUAUUGAUUCGAUAUUUUUUCGUUUUAAUAGUAAAUCACUUAUUAAAGAGAGAUCUGCACAUUUUAUUUGAAACAACUAAAAACAAGUGAUGGACUCUUUAAUUAAAUAAGAGAUAUAACAUGUUUAUGAUCUUGUAUAAUCAAUCUAUACCAUCUAAAAAGAUAUAAAGUAAAUUUGGCUGCGAGUAUAUAUAUUUAAAAGGCCAAAUUUUAAUGAGGUCAAAAUUUAAACAAUGACCAAAAAAAAAAAGAGAGAGAAAUUGAUAUAAAAUUUUGUUCAUAAUAUAUAAAUGUGAUUUAUUUGACAUUUAAUUUGAUUUCAACUGAUAUUUAUAUUUUUUAAUUUUAAAUAUACAUAAAUAAAUAAUUUUAUAUAAAAUAUAUAAUAAACCAAAUAUAUUUAUCUUAACUCAUCCCUCUUACUUAAAAAUAUCCAUGUAAACUUGGACAAAAUUCUUCAGGAUGAUCUGGAGAGACUCCUUUAUAUGCAAAAGUAGGUGGCAGUUUCUCAGAAGAUGAAAUUUAGAAAUCACGAGUUUUAAUAUGGGAUUAUAAUCUAUUUUUUUUUAAUUUAAUAAUUAUAUUAAUUUCUUAAUAAGUAAUACAAAUUGAAAUAUAAAAUGUAUCUCAGAUAUAUAUAAUAGAUGCAUAAUAUGUAGUUUAUAUAUUUAUUAGCCCAGAUACAUAAUAUGUACUUCGAUACAUUAAAAAUUAGCUCAUAAUAUAUAGCUUAAAUACAUUACAUUCUAACUCAAAUAUAUUUUUUUAAAAAAACUUCAGUGAUUUUUAAAAUAAAAGAAAAUAUUAGAAAUUAGGUAAACAUAAACCUUUAUUUGAGUAAUUUUGCUAUAAAGUUUAAGACGUGUAGAAACCAAACUCAAACAUGACAUGGCAUGGCGGUGUGGACAACAUAUGACUCAUCUGCUUUGCGUGACCUUUCUAUAACUUUGACGCAAAAUUACCAAAAAACCUCAUAAAUGUGCCACGUGUCCUAUCCAUUAUCAAAUAAUACAGAAACUAAUCUUAGUACUCCCCCACUUAAUUAUUUUUACUCACCAAAUAAAUGGUUUGGACACCUAAUUAAUAGCCACCUUCCCUAAAAAAAAUUUGGUCAACCACUUGACAAGAUAACACCACUUGUAUUUAUAUUUAUAUAUUUAUAUAUUGAUAAAUAAAUAUUAAAUUAUUUUUUCUUUUUCUAGAUUAGUAAACAAAAUCAUCUAAUAUCAAUUCCUAUUAUUUUCAAGCGUGGAAUGUAUCUUUUUUUUUCGCAGUUUUACUAGCUAUCAUAUGGUUAAUAAGGAGUAAUCUACCAUGUAUAAGGGAAAGCAUAAUUUGUACUCAUGAAAAUGAAUUUUGUUUGAAAAUAUAUACUAUAAUAUCUUUUAUGGGAAGAUAAUAUACUCUAUUUCAAAACUUAUUUGGCAUAUUUCAAAUCUUAAAAGUAAAAAAAUAAAAUGCACAAAAUUGACAAUUUAAUAUUUUUUGAAACUUUUGAAUUUUCAGAAUUUAUUACUAUUAUUAUGACUUCAAUAGAAAAAAAGGGCAUAAUACAUGUAUUGGACCCUAAAUUUGACUUCAAAUUUUAAUUUUGACCUCCAAUUCUCAUAAUGCACAAACAGAUAUUUUAGCUAUUUAACUUUUAAAUAAAUAAAUACAUGAGUCCAACAUGACACAAUACACGUAGGAUACUAUGUAGGACAAAAAUGUAGGAUGACAUGUAGACAUGUGCGUCUGUUUAUUCAACUUUAUACAAAUUUAAAUGGCUAUUUAUGCACACUCAAAAUUGAAGUACAUAAAUAUGAUUUAAAGUCAAAUUAAAUUACAUAUUUAUAUAUUAUGCCGAAAAAGAAGUCAUUAAAAUAAAUGACUAUAUGUGAGAAAUAAACUUAAUUCUAUCGCUAAAAAUAGUUUUUUUUUUCCAAUCAAAAUAAAUGAUGGCGCGUUUAAUUAGUCAAAAUUUUCAUAAGUAGACGAAAUAAAGAUGAAAUAUAUAGUUGAGAUGAUUUUUUUCAAUUUCAACUGCCUAAACCAUUAACCAUCAAACACGACUGAAUAUAACACCAACUCCUACCUCCCCAACCCAAAUUCAUUUUUAUUUUCUUCUAUAUAUAUAAUAAUAAUAAUUAAUCCCUUCUCAAACAAAAAACUCAUUCUUCUUCCUCUGUUUUUUCAAAAUUUUGCUCUGUUUUUUUCAGGAAAAAGAAAAGCACAAUUAAUUAAAUUAUGGCGUUCGUUUUAGUAUCAGGAAAAUCUAGCAAAGCACAAUUAGUAGCGAUAGCCGAUGCAGCUUCGUUUUACUGUGCUAUUUUUGUAUUGGGUUUGCUUUUGAUUAGUUCAGUGAAAGAGAAUUAUUCAACAGACGGAGCCGUAAUGAAAGGGAAUCGGUUCUUGAGUCGGCCUUGUGAUGAAAUUUAUGUGGUUGGAGAAGGAGAAACGUUACAUACGAUUAGUGAUAAGUGUGGUGAUCCUUUUAUUGUUGAAGAGAAUCCACAUAUUCAUGAUCCUGAUGAUGUUUUUCCAGGUCUUGUAAUCAAAAUUACUCCUGUAAACCCAUCGUAGAUAUGAUUUUUUGUUUUCCCUAAAUCCUGCGAGGAGAGCAGAGUAGAGACUACUCUGCUUUGCUCGCGGAGAUUAGAUUUUUCUCAUGGGAUUUUUUUGGGCUUGUGUAAUUAAUGAUAAGAAUAAAGAUGGUGGAGUUGAGACUUGAGCUAUAGAGGUUCAAAAGAUCUUGUAAUUUUAUUAGAUAAUAAGUAUAUAUAUAUAUAUAUUAAUAUUAGUAGUAUAUGUUUUGGUUGUUUCCCUCUUCUUUGAUUCUUAGAACAACUAAAUCCAUCUCUCUGUUUUUUUUUUAUUUCACAUCUGGUUCACUAAAAUCACAAAAAACAUGAUGAAUUAUGCUUUGAUUUUUCAUUCGGAUAUGAUAUCUGUAUAUAAGUCUUAUUAAUUUGAAUUUACGCGGCAUAGAAUUCACCAUUUGAGAGAAACGAUUUUAUUGAUUAACUUAAAAGCAUUUUUGUGAUAUUGCUGCCUUCAUCCCAUAUUAACUAAAUUAUUGAGAGAUUUUAAUUUUUUAAAAUUAAUUUUAUGUAUUUUUUUAAUUUAAAUAUUCAUUAAAUUGAAAUUAGUAAUUAAUUAAUAUUUAAUCAUCAUAUUUAUAAAUUUUUGAUAAUUAUUAAUAAAGAUAAAAAUAAAAUACUAGAUUUAAUUUUAUUUUAAUUUAUUUUUCUUAAAUGUAGAAUAUUUCAAAAAUUAAUUAAUAUGAAAUAGAAGGAAAAAGAAAAUGUAAAACUACGAUACAACAUAGAAGAUGUGGAAAGACAAGAAGUGUAAGUAAACUAUUUUCAGUUUCAUCAUGGUUUCUUUGUUUUUCUUUUUGAUUAUGUUUAUUUUGAUUAAUAUUCUGUCACUAAUACAAAAAAAAAAAAGAACUACUAAUUUAAAAAUUAAAGUAGUUUAUAAAUUGAUUUGAAAAAAGAUUUAAAGAGGAAAAUCAUCAAGCAAGGUCGAAUUCAUGAUCAUAUUAUCCACUAUUUUGUACUUAUUUUAAUUUUGUUUAUAUUCUUGGUCAGAUCACUAUUUUAUUUCCAUUUAAUUUAUUUUAUUGUUUUUAAUUGAAAAUUUUGUUGUUUUCCUACAAAUAGAUUUGUUGUUUUUAUUUAUUUUUUAUAUUUAGAUCAUUUUUAGUUCUUUUAAUUUAUUUUAUUUUUUUCCAUUGAAAACUUUAUUGUUUUCUAUUAUCAACAUGUGUUGUUUUUAUUUCUUAUUAUACAUAGAUUAUUUUCAUUUCUUUUUAUAUAUUUACUAUUUUAAUUGAUUUAUCCAAUUAUAAAUAUUUUUUAAUAUUAGAACUUUAUUGUAUAUUUUUUAACGACACAUAUGCUAAUCAAAUAUUAGCAUCAUAUGUUACUCAAUAUAUUAAACAUUUUAUUAGCAUGUAUUAUUAUUUUGAAAAUAAUAUAUAUAAAUAAUUUAUAACAAUUUUACUAUUAAAUAGUUAAUAAUUCAUGUAUUGUAAUUUCUACGUAACUAAAAUAAUAUUUACAUAACUAAUAUCCACAUAGUUAAUGCAUAAAUAAACCCAACAUAACUAAAUCCUGAAUAACUAAGCCCUACAUAACUAAAUCCUGCAUAAGUAAGCCCUACAUAACUAAACCCUGCAUAGUUAAUACCUGCAUACCUAAACUCUCCAUAAUUAAUACCUCCAUAACUAAACCUUGCAUUGAUAAUAUCUGCAUAACUCUAACCAGUAAUCAAACAACCCCAUAAUACAUGUAUAACUAAUACCACAUAACUUAUUCCACUUUCUACCCUGCAUGGAUUUCUUCAUAAGUUAUGUUGAUAUUAAUUAUGUAGGAUUACAAAAAUGCAAUCAGACAUAGUAUAAGUCAUGUUGACUUUUCAACCUAAUAAAUUUUUUUUACCAAACAUUAUAAAACUAAUACAAUAUUUUAUACAUGAAUAAUAUGCCCUCUUAUAUCGUAAUUAAACGGGCCCUUAAUUGUACGGGAAAAAUAAAAAAAAAUAAUCUGUCGUCAGCAAGUUAUAACGUAUAAUAUAUAAGCUUAAUGAAAAAGAACAUUGAUAAUGCAACUUUAAGAAGAUAGACUUUCUGGAUUAAAAUUUAAAAGAAAUUUGAUUUAAACGGAGGGAUGGAUUCAAAAUUUAAUUAAAAUUAAUAAAUUUUUAUCACAUGGUUAAAUUAAUAUUUAUUUAGUUUCAAUUUGCUUAUCUAAUUUAUUUUUUUGAAGCAUGUUUGACUUGAUUUGUUUAAGUUUUGCUUUCAAAAAAAUAAAAAAUAAUUUUUAAAUAUUUUUGUAGUACUAUUUAAAUAAAAUUAAAAGAAUUCUUUUAUACAUUUAUUAUAAAAUUAAAAAGUAAAAAAUAAUAGCCUGGACCGACUUCUAAAAUUAGCUUAUUUUGAAAAUGCUUUCAAACGAAUAAUUUUUGGCGAAAAUAGUUCGUAUUAAUUAGACCAAUAAAUCUAAAAAACACUUGUGGGAAAUAAUUAAUGUUAAAUUAAAGUUUUUUAAAAAAAAUUAACUAUAUUUUUCUCAAAAAAGGCUUUUAGGUAAAAACUAUUUUAUUAGCUUUUACAACCAUUUCUCUACAAUUCAAAAAUAUUUGUUUUCUUCCAAAAACACUCGCUAAUGAAAGAAAAAAGUUUGGCCAAAAACUCUAUAAAUUAAAAUUUCAAAUUUAUACUCCUUCUUUCUAGUCGUAUUUUAUAUGUCGAUCUCUUUUUAUAAAUAGUUGGUCCAUAAUACAUACUUGUCAUUUCAUAAAAAUAAAUACAUAAAUUAUCAUAUUUUUCAUUUUAUUCUUGUGAGUUAUUAACUUUGAAAAUACACAUUCGACCAACUUAGAAAAGCUAAGUAAAUGAUUCAUGUUCAUUGGUUAAAUUAAUUAAGCAAAAUAAAUUAAUUUAUAUUCAUUGAUUGAAAACUUGAGUUCCAAAAAAAUUAAAUAAGGUAAAAAAAUAUAAUUACAUUAUUUCUUAUUACAAAAAGUAAAAACAUGACAUACAAAAUGAAACAGAGGGAGUAUAAAUCAAGUGUUCUACAUAUUUUUAUUUAAGAUUUUUUUUCUACUUACUUUAAUUUCUCAUAUUUUUAUUUAAGAUUUUUUUCUACUUACUUUAAUUUCUAGUUAAAUUAAAUUCAACAAAUAAAUUUAAACAAUAGAAAUGUACAAUAAUAAUUCAAUUCAUAACCACAUGCUUAUAUGUUUUUUUUUUCCUGUUUGGUCAAAAAGAGUCAAAGGGCUCAAAAUUUAUUGCUUAUAUGUUUUUCCGAGAGGUCAUGUCACUUUGUUCUCUCUACAUUGUUGAAAAGUUCUACAUCUAAAUCAUUCAAUAAAUCAUUAUUUUAUAUGAAUUUGAACAUUAUGUUUUUAUUUAUAAGCAUUAGAGAAAGAUUCAUCUCAAUUAUUAUGUACUAAUGUUAGGCCCCAACAAAUUAAAUGAUUUGUUAUGCAUCAUAGCAGCAAAGGAGAACGCGAUAUUGAUUCAGUCGGAGGUAUACUACUUUUCUGAUCAAAUCAACCCACUACUCAACCGCCCACGUGUGUGUCUGAGAUAUUUAACUUUAGACGUGAGGUAAGGUGAAGUGUAACAAUAAUAUUGAAAAAUAUUAUAUUAAUUGAAAAAAAUUCAUCUUUAAAUAUAAAAUCUUGACAAUUCUCCCUCACUAACUAAUUUUUGAAAUUGAAUUAGACUUUAAAUUUAUUUAUUUAUAUUUAUUGUUAUGUGAAAUUUAAUUAGACUUAAAAUUUAUUUAUUUAUGUUUAUUGUUAAUUAGUCGCAUGAGCUAUAGAAUUAAGACCGAUACAAUUGAUAUGCUUGAAAUAGAAAUUCCUUGAAUGUAGACUCAUCAUUUAUUUUAUGUGAAUUACAUAUAUUUAAAUUAUUUGAUGUUGACGCAAAAUAUGUGUUGUGUAUUUAAUCUACUUGAAAAAAAAUAAAGACGGAUUUAUUUAAAACUAAUGGUGGAUUCAUUUAAUUAAUGUUUAUCUCUCGUCCUAUUGUAUUGUAGCUAGUUCAGCCAUGAUUAGGCAACUUAAAGCUAAGGACAUUAGGGGAUGUUUGGUACAAACAGGACAAUGUUUUUCUACCUUUUUUUUUUUUUAAAAAAAUAUUUAUUCUUUUACUUUUUUUAAUAUUCUAACAAAAUUUGAUUACGACAAAAUCUGUUUUCCUUACUUAUAUAGUUAUAUUAACAAAAUUAAUUUUUUCAUCUUAAUAAAUUUCAUUUUUGGAAGAAAAUAUUUUUAAAGUUUUUAUACAAACAAAUGUGGAGAAACAAGAAAACAUUUUAAAAAAAUAAUCUCCUCAUACGAAAUACAUCCGAAAUAAUUAAAUUGGGAGAAAUAAUUUUCUACAAUUCAUAUAUAUAUAUAUAUAUAUAUAUAUAUAUAUAUAUAUAUUGAUAGAGUUCGUGCAAUUCAUUAUCAGUCAACGGACCAGGUUCGUUGACUUAAACAAAUUAAGAACGAAGAGUAAAUAAUAGCAACAACACAACACGAAUCUUCUUGCUCACGGGAGUAAAACCAUGACCUGUCGCACAAGAUUUUCAACCGUUUUCACUAAUCUUCUCAAGCAAAAGUAAAACCCGAUUACAAUCAAUGUGAGAAAAAGUUAUUAAUCUCAUGUUUAAGUGAUAACUCUAUCACUUAAUAAGCCUAAUUAGAUACCACACUGCACAUUAAGCUUCACUACUAGACAACUUAGAAUUUGACUAAGCAACACGUAGGUUGUCCACUAAAAUACCACGCUCCGGAUGACUUAGACUUUUACUAUGCAGCACAACGUGCCCACUAAAUCAGUUGGACUCAACUGAUUUAAGAUUUUCACACCAAACAACUAUCUGAUUCCUCUAUAGAUGUAACAGAUUUACAGUGUAUGUACAAAAGAAUUAAUCCUAAGACCAAUAAGCUUGCAGCUCUAUUUGGUUUGAGUUGAUCUUGAGGAUGAAUUUUCGCUUUUGUGAGCCUUUGCAAGAGUUUUUGAAGUUGCAAAAACUAAAGUUAUAGCUAUUGAACAUUAGGUUAAUGAAAAAUAGUCAUAACCUUCGAGACCACGCCAUUGGUCGAGGUCUCUGUCCUUUUUGUCACAAUUGGAGACUGUGCACCAACUAAUUGUACUUUUUCCAGCCUGGCAGUGAGGAGUAUGUCGCACCAUGUCUCUUCACAAGGUUCCUGGGUUUGUCAAGUCAUCAGUUGGAGACUGUGCACCAAUCACUUGUACCUUCUCCAGCCUGACAGUAGAUAUAUAUCGCCCAUAAACCAGAUCCCUUCACAAGGUUGAGUUUAUCAAAUUAUUGCUGAUGGUGUUAUGUGCUUCUAUUUUUUUUAAAAAAUCUUUUUGGUAAGUGUGCAAAUGCGUUUCUGUUUUUUGUAUCUUACUAUUUAGGAGCUGACUGGUGCGAUAUAUAAUUUCAUCAGAAUUUAAUAGUUUCAACUCUAGAUAUAUACAACUAAUAAAUUUAUAUACAUAUAAAUUUAUUAUACAACUAAUAAAUACAAACUCUGUGUAAAUUAAUAAAUUACAAAGUGAAUCAAAUAAAUGUUAACUCUACCUUAACAAGAACUUCAAAAAGAAGAAACACAUAAAUAAAUUAUCAAUUUUAAGAUUGUGAGUUCGAAUCAUCAAGAAAGUAAAUAUGAGAGCUCUUUCAGGUAGGAAUUAACAACAAUAAAUUCAACAACUUAAACAUAUAAUUAACGUUAUUUGAAUAGUAAAUUUUUUUUUUCAGACGGAAAUAUUCUAUUGAAUCCAUCAUUAUGUGCUAUUCCACAAAAAAUAUAGUUUGGUUAGUCGCAGACUCUCCCACUAGCUUUCCCCUUCUUGUUUGAUAUGUUAUACAAAAUUAUAAAAAAAUAACAAAAAACUUAACCAUGGUAAGAGUUGAAUAACUUGAGCUAUAAUUUACUGUUUAUUUCAUUUUAACUCAAAUAAUAUAUUUAUUAUUAACUCAAUUUAUUUUAAUUUACUCGUAUUCAGCAUAACCCCUCCAAAAUUAACGUAGUGCUUAAGGACCAACAGAAAGAUUUGGUGCUAUUGGAAUAUGAAAUUCAUGAAGGUAUUCUGAUUAGACACCUCUCCAUAAAUAAUUGUAGUUAGCAUUUUUUUAAAAGGAAGAAAAUCAUAUGUCAUAUGAAUUGCACAUUAUGUGGUCAUGAUUAAAUACAUAUACUUUUAUAGGUAAGAUUUUCUUUGGGUGGCGAGUAAUGAUGUUAAUCACCCAUCGUUGUUGAAAUUUAGUAGCCACAAGAUAUUGUUAUCGUAAUAAAGAAAAAAAGAUUAUUUGUCACAAAUUCAAAAUUUGUAGCUAUUUUUAUAGCUUAAUCUGGUGACAAUUGUACUUGUAUUCAAUUGCUAAUUAAAAACUGUUGUUAAUAUGUGUGGAGGCUAAGUAUAGAGUUUGGAGUCUAAAAGGUAUAAAAUAUUAAUAAAAAAUUUAAAAUGGUAUAUAAAAUUUUAUAUUAAUUAAAACGGCAAAAUCGCUGGAGCAACAAUGAUUUACUUCACCGGAAAAAGCAAAAUCGCUAUUAUUACAAUGAUUUUGCAAAAUGUGAUUUUUUUUAAAAAAUUCAAAUCACCGUUAGAAAAUCGUUGCCUAGGCAGCGGUUUCUAUUUAAAGAAUUUUUUUUUUAAAGAAAAUCGUUGCCUAGGCAGCGUUUUUCAAUUUUUUUUUGGGUUGAAAAUCGCUGCCUCUGACAGCGACUUACAUUUUUUUUUAAAAAAAAAAAUUGAAAAUUGCAGCGAUUUUAAUUUUUUUUAAACAAAAUUAAAAAUCGCUGCCUAGGUAGCGAUUUGAAUUUUUUUUUAAAAAAAAUCACAUUUUGCAAAAUCGCUGCUAUAGCAGCGAUUUUUCUUUUUUCAGUGAAGUAAAUCACUGUUGUUCCAACGAUUUUACCGUUUUGAUUAAUAUAAAAUUUUAUAUAUCGUUUUAUAAUUUUUUAUUAAUAUUUUAUAACUUUAUGUUCCGGACUCAAGUAUAUACCCUCAAUAGUUUUGGAUUAUAGCUAAGGAUGUAUAUUGUUAGUCUUGAAAUAUAUAAAAUUUGGGGAAAAAAUUAAAUAAUCAAGCCAGCAUAUGGUAAUUAAUGGGUUUGUUUGUAUUAAAACAUGUAAAUUUCUCUUUCAUCUUUUAUACAAAUCAAAACACCCUCUCAAUUAUCACACCCAUUAAUCUAAUAAUCUAUCUUCUAAUAUAUCUCACUUCUUCUCCUAAUGUAACUUAUAAAAUUCAUAAUUCAAAUUUUGAAAAUUUCAUUCAUCCAAUUUUAAAAAUUAUAAUUAGGCAAGUCUAAUAUUUUAUAAUUAUACAACUAAAUAUAUUAGGUUUUUUAAAUUAUAUGUAUAUUUCUUUGGUUUAAAAUAUAAUUUAUUUGUACAUAUUUCAUAAUUUUAAGACACAUACAAGUAUUGCAUUAUAAACGUUAACUACAAAUACAAGAUAUAUAUAUGUAAUUACUUGUUUGAUUUAUACGAGUCAAAUUAUGAAAAACCUAUAUUAUACAAUUAAUUCGUAAACAUAACUGCCAUAUAUUAUAUUGUUUAUACAAAUAGAUAUACUUUUCAACUAUAUUUUUUUUAAAAACUUGAUUCAGUUAUGUACUUAUACAAUUAUUAUAUAUAACUACUCGAGUGUUUUUCAUUAAAAAAAGAAGAAGAAGUCAUAUUAGGUAAGGAAUUCUAAUUAGAUAUAAUAAUCAUAAAUACAGGAAUCAUUUUCCUUUUUUAUAACCAAAAUUGCCACAUCAUAUAAGGGGACUUAAUAAAUAAUUUGUAAAAUCAAUGAAAAAAAUUAAAGUAUACAAACAGAUUUAGCCAUUAAAAUUAUAGCUACACAAUGUAAAUAGACAAACUCUAGCUAAGGAGACCUAUUAUAUUUUACAUUUUAGCUUAUGAAAUUUUCCCAAAUAAUUAUAGCAAAAAUAGUUUUUGUGAAUAUCCUCGAUCUAGUAUGCACGAUAUGAUUACUUGUGCUGGUUUACAGCGAAAAUAUGCACAAAGACUCUUAUGAAAUACCCAUAAAAUAGAAAUUGUAUGUAUUGUCCAUCAAAAGUAGAGAUGACAAUGGGCCAGUUGAGUUUAACCCAUAAAUUUUUUAAUUCACUUAUGUUCCAUCUCGUAUAACGAUUUCUUUCAUUUUCAAGCCACUUUGCAUGAAGUCACCGCACAUAGUUUUUUUAAUAUCUUUUUCCUGGUUAAGUUUGAUACUAAAAAUAAAAUUCAUAAAAAUAAAUUUAUUUUGCAUUAAGUUGUAUUAAUUUAAUAGGAUAACGACUUAAAAUUUUAUUUUUUAGAGGUGAGAAAAAAGUAAGAAAUUGUAUAACCUUUACCCCCUGCAUAUUUAAUAAUAUAUUUUAAAGAUAUAUAUGUGCCCACAUGGACACUGAAGAUAUUGCAUAAUUAUAAAUAGUAAUGUGUCCACGUGAGUACAUAUAUACAUUUAAAAUGCACUAUUAAAUAAUUUGCGGGUAAAAAAUACACUAUUAAAUAGUUGGGGGAAGGAAGGGGGUAAAAGGUUCUCCAUAAAGUUUGGUAUCGUAACGAUAAUUUCGGCCAAAGUUGGAGUAUUUUUCAAACCCGUUUGUCUUUUUUAUUGAACUAUUUUCAUUUAUUAUCUUGAAUAUUUUAGUAGCUUUAAUGAAAUUAUCUUAAUAAAUAAUGCUCUAUAACUCUUAUAACAUGCAAAAAGUUAAAAGUAAGUUUGAAUCCACAUAUAAUCACAAGUACCCUCAAUCCGCCCCGCCCCACAUUAAUUUUAAAAAAUCCAUUUCAACCCGCCCAACAUCCCACCCGCUCCGCCCACAUCAAUUUUAAAAAAUUAAUUCACUUGAACCCGUUUAACAUUCCACCCGCCACACACAACCUUAAACCCUUCCCGCCUUACAUAGCCUUAAACCGACCCCGCCCCACAUCUGCCCCAUUGCCAUCCCUACCCCAAAGAUAUUACAAAAAAUUAGGUAAUUGUAUCUUCUUUUUUUCCUGAAAAAUUACAUAAAAAUUAUAUUUAUAUCAUGUAUAUAACUGUUGCACAUGACAUGGGUAGAUUACAUUUAAAAUGUAUACAUGUGAUAUACAUGUAACAUAUGAUCUGUUUCUUCAAGGUCCAACAAUAAUGAAUUUCAAAUUCUUCAUCCAACCCCCUCAAGUCUGUUUUCAACUUUGAUUUCGAGCUCCAAAACAUACUGCUCAACUAAUUAGUGAAGUAUAAACUUCAAAUUUUGACAACAAAAUACAGCUUUAAAAUCACGAUUCAAGGUUAUAUUAAUUCAACAAAAGUUGCUAAAUCUGAAUAAAAAUUUAUUCACCUAAAACUGUGGGUGUUGGAGAAUCUAUAGAAUCAACUAUUAACAAAGUUGUUCUUUUAAGAUUAAGCAAAGACAGUAAUAGGGCAGCUCUCCUUUGGCGUGUCAGCUGUAAUGUGUGAUAAACGGCAUAUGCCUAUAGAGAGUAGCCCUAUCACUGUUUUGUUAGGUUGUGGAGCCUGAUUAAUAUUUGAUAUACUGUCAUAUAUUAAUGUUUAAGCGGUGCGGUGAGGUUGCCAGGUCCCGCCCCAUCCGAAGGAGGCAGCGCACCGACCCAAAUUUUAGGCUGCAAUAUUUAUUCUCUGUAACCUAAAAUACUCUGAAUUCUUAAUAUAUAUCCACCGUUGUGGAAGUUUACUCACGAAAUAUUGGUUUCUCUCUUUUUCUCUCUAGUCUGAUCUCUUCUCUUGAAAGUUCUUGUAUUCUCUCUGGUCUCAUUUUUUCUGCUUCUGAUUCAUCACAAAAGAGUGUUUCCACACUUUUAUAGAGCACUCAUUCUCAAUUUAAGACACAGAAUAAACCAUUGGAGCAUCAGCAUAUCCUGUGAUAUUUAUGCUAUAGCCUGUGUUACCUUUUUUAGGGCCAGAAUAUGGGAGUAACUUUUUUAUCCCUUUACAAUUCCAUGUGGUGAAAGGUCCUUUUAAAAAAAAUGUAUUCAUCAGAUUCCCCAGUUGCCUUCUCCAUGAAUUUAUAGGUGAAAUAAUUUUUUUUUAUAAAAGACCUUCAAACAGCAUAUCCUCCAUCAUAUUCUUUUUUCCAUCUACAUUACAUUUCUAAUUUAAAAAAGAAAUAAAACUACUUUUGACUGAUUUCAAUCAGUUUUUCUAUUGCAAAUGCCUUCAAUUGUGUUCGUAUUGUAAUAAUUUUGAUUAAAUGAAUGAAGACAAACUGUGUGUUAGUCUCAUUUGUUUUCUAAUGUGUUCAAAUAACUUGAAGUAAAACACAACUAUUCUCAAAUAGUUUCACUAUGAAUUGAACUAAUGGACAUAUAUAUCUCCUGUCAAUACUCUUCACAAAAUUUGGUUCCACAUCAGCCAACGUUGUUUAAAAGGAACAAAUGAUGGAUGAUUCAAUGAUGCAAUAGGAAAAUAACAUAGUUAAGGUAGCUGGGAGAAACCCAACAACUUCAAAUAUUUAUUUAUGUAUUUGACCUUUAAUUUUCGUAGCAUAGUAGUUUUCCAUCACAAUAAUUAACUAAUUUUUUCCCCCUUCCAUUUGACAUAUAACAGAAAAGAAUAAAGUAGUGAGAAAUAUUUUCAGGUGUCUGAGCUGAUUUGUUUUAUAGACGAUCAGUCAUAUGUUUGGAUAAAAUUGUGGAAGAUGAUUUUAUAAAUAAACUAUUAUGUAUUUGAAUAAAAAUAUGUUGCUAUUGCUUCUGAAUUAAUACAUUAUACAUGUGUUGAAUGAGCAACAAGUUGGGAAUGAUUUUGAUGUGUCAAGCUUUAUUUCAUAAAUGUAUCAAGAGUUUGUAGUUACACAUAGAAUGCUAAUAACAGGCUAGAGUCCUCUGGGGAAAACACUAUUUCGAACCAAUAUCAUAAACUUAACUAAUUCAAACUCCAGAAUAAUACGCCGGGUUUGAAAAUGUACAUUUGAAAUUUCGGAACUUUUGCAAGAACCUUUGGAUAAGUCACUUUGUAACUUUUGAUACAUUUUCCUGAUAGAAAAUUGUGUAAUCUGCUGAACCUCAUCCAUCCUGUUUGAACCAUCCAAGCAGCUUGUGAAUUCUAAUUCAUCAGACCUAUGUUUAAAUCUUCAUUUAGCAAAAAAUAAUUUGAGGAUUAAAUACAAAAAUUAGAAUGUAAUAUCAUUCAUAACGGUAUAACAGCUCUUCAAAUUAAAAUGUACAUUUGAAUAUAUACAUCUCACAUCCGCAUUCAAAUGAAUUGGUGGGUUCAGAACAAAGUAAACAAGACUUAAAAUUUGGAAUUACACGAGAACGCAACAAUUCACUUUGAAAAGUAGAAAAAUAGCUUCGAGACAUUACAUUGUAUUAAGAGUGCCUGAAGGGCAUGUAGAUUAAGCAGAGACAGUAACAGGGCAGCUCUCCUUUGGCGUGUCAGCUGAAAUAUACAAUUGCAUGCCAAUAGAGAGUAGCCCUAUCACUGUUUCGCUUAUAAAUUCAAGAAAAUAUUUUUUUCAUUCAUCAACUCUCGUUUUUUCUUUCUCUGGUUCAUCAAAGCGGAGCCUUCCAUGCUUUUAUAGGCAUUCCUUCUUAGCUUAAGAGACGGUAUAAAGUAUAAACCCUUGGAGAGAAUCAGCAUAAUGCUAUGUGAUUUUUGGUUCUAGUUGUGGUCUGCGGAUAUCUUCUUGUAUCAUGGGAUUGCUUUUUCUAGGGUAAAAAAAUGUGUAACUUUCUUAUCCCUUACAAUUUCAUUUCCUGAAAGCAACUCCUUUAAAAAUAUUUUCAUCAGAUUAUUCCCUCCGGAAAAAGUUGCUGAAAGUUGAUUUUAUGCCUUCGAAGUGUAUGCCCUUUGCAUUGAAGGAGUGAAAUACAGCAUAUCCUUUUAUCAUAUUCCUUAUUUUUUUCUCUUCUUCUUUUCUCUUUUACAUUUCUAUGUUACAUUUUCUAUUUGGUUUUGAUUUUUAGGAUUCCAGCGCUUUUUGAGGCUAUAUGAAACGAGGAGUACUGCUUCCUUUGCCUGACAAUUAGACAUAAUAAAAGUUCGAAUAAGGUGCUUGUUGUGUUCACUCGUAAUAAAAGUUCCAAAUAUAUUAUCAGUUGUGCCUGUUUAGUUAGACAUUUGAAGCUGUAUAACUGCAGCAGCGUAUAUCAAUGCAGUCCAGUACUGGAUGCUAUAUAAGAAAAAGCACAAAUUGAAAAAAUAUGUAGGUAUAUGGGGCAUAGGUUUGAGGAACAGACUUGCUGGUGCAAGAAACUAGCUAGGCUGGUCUUAUCAGUAGCAGGCUGCAAGAAAUUCAAGAAAAUUCAUUGAGUCGUUUUGAUAUCGCACUAUAAUUUCCCCUAGUAUCAACGAGAUUCAACAAUUUAUAUAUAUAUAUGUAAUAACUAAAAACUCAUUUUCCCUAAUUCAAAUAGGAUUCAAUUGAGCUCUUGUCGCGUCUUAUAUAUCAACACAGCUAUAUGGGGCAGAAUUCAGCAUGAGAAUCUUGCCGGUGUAAAAAACAAACUAGGGUGGUAUCAUAUGAAAAUAUUUGAGUGUAACAUUGAUCUAGACUUGGACGCCAAUUGUCCAGCUUCACCAUACUUGAAUGUCUUAAGUUGUAAGAACUGCUUUUUGUUGCACACAAAUUCACUAAAUUAAUACCAUACUGGACGUGUUGAAAGGUGCAAAAUGAUUUUGAACUGCCACAGAUAGUUAAUUAGUUCAACUGGAACAAAUGACGACACUUUUGAGUAAUAUGAGAGAACUCAAAAAGACGCUUUUGAAAAAUUUACUAGCCUAACUAAGUGAGAGUGGCACUAGGAAAUCAAAAAGCCACACGAAAGCAAAAACAACCCUACAUAUAACAUAGAAAUGUCGACAUGGACAAAGGAAGAGGAAAAUGAGGAAUAUGACCAAGGAUAUGCUGUAAAAGAGUCAAAGUGACACACUUCGCAGUUGCAGAAAACACCUAAUAUACUGAUACUAGCAUUCAGAAACCGAAAAGCCACAAAAUGAAAUGGUACAGGGGAUACGAAUGCUCCCCAUUUUCUGACCCUAGAAAAAGCAAAAAGACACAAAAAUGGCAGGAUAUGCUGAUUCUCCAUGGGUUUAUACCCUUUUAGAAACUGAGAAGGAAUGAUCUAUAUAAGCUUGGAAGGCUCUGCUGUGAUGAACCAGAAGCAGAAAAAUGAGAGUUGGUGAAUAAAAAUAUAUUCUUGAAUUUAUAAGGGAAACAGUAGUAGGGCUACUCUCUAUUGGCAUGCAGUGAUAUAUUCAAACUGAUAUGCCAAAGGAGAGCUGCCCUGUUACUGUCUCUGCUUAGUGUAUUUCUGAUGCAAUACCUACUGUAUCCGCCUCCGGUAAGUCACUAUGUUCUUCUAUAACAAGAAUGAACAGUGAUAUGGAUAAUCUCUAAUGGCAUCCGGUUAUUUAUUCAUCACAUAUUUCAGAUGAAAUGCCAAAGGAGAGUUGUGCGGUUUCUGUUUCUGCUUAAUGUCAUAACUCUGAUGCAAAAGUUGUUUACACACUCUAUCCGCCGCAGCCGAGUUAAAUACAAUGUGAUAUAUACUGAUAUAGCUUAUAAACACCAUAAAUGGAGUCAUGUCGCUAGCGGCGCCUAAUUGCAACGAUGAACAUGCAUGAAAAAACACAAAAUUUAACUAAAAAAAAAUAUAAUUAAACCUGCAAAAUGAGCAUAGUCAGAAAUCUCUCCAAAAGAAACAUCAUUAUUGAACCUAGGAGAGAUUUGAUUAUUUGGAUGGAGGAGACAUGAGAUAUAUCUAUUGCUUCUGAGUAAAUUCAUGUGCUGAAUGAUCAACAAAUUGGGAUGUGGAAGCUAAGAGUAUUGGAGUAAAAUUAUAAAAAUUGACUCAAAAGACAGGAUCUUUUUGGUCUUAAUGAAAUUGAAGACAGGAAAAUGGAUGAACUUAUAACACUUCUUAAAAGUGUGUCCUAACUUCUUGCAAUUUUUGCAAGAGACAAAAGGACAUGCUUCGUUUCCUUAAGUUAGACUCUUUGAGUUAAACUUCUCUCGGCACCAAAAGAAGCAGUCGAGAAAGAAAAUGAGGCUGAUUUAGUGGAGAAGCCUGAAAAAUGUGAGUUCUCUCACUAUUUCUCGUCAUGUUUUAACACUGAGUAAGAUCUACUAAUAGAGGGAAGGAGAUAGUAUAUUGCUCAUAAAUGUGGAGUAGAUAUUCUUCAACCAAUUUAGGAACCGAAACAAUUUCAGUUCUUCUACAAACUUGGGCAAGGGGCCACAAGAGCGUAUGACCCCUCAUCUCAUCCCAAAGGCUUCACAGUCUAGUGAACUAUGAGGCAUUGUUUGAAGUUCUCUGGGAAAUGGAACAAUGUCAUUUGAAAUUGGAUGAGCUUAGACCUAUUUGAUCACCCAAAAUCUCUCAUUAAUGUUCAAAAAAGUUUCCCUAUUAGUGUCAUUUACCCUGAAACACUAGUAGGAAUAAGUGAUUCAAGCAAUCAUCAUAUUGUUGAACCUUGUCCAAGUAAGGGUAAUCUUCAACUUAUAGUAAAUGCUAAGAUCAGUCACCUUGCCCUAAAUAAGACAUCAUCAUGAACACCUUAAAUAUCACUAUAAAUCCAUUAUGAAACCUUUGAAUCAGAAGUAGAAUAGAGUAAACCCCUGCUGAAUCAGAAAUUGAACCCUAUCCAUAUAUAUUUUUUUGAAAAUCAAUCAAAAUACAAAAUCUAGCUUCAAGGAUAUGUUGCUCUAAUGAAAGGAAAAAGUUUAGUUAAUUUGCCUGCUAUGUUACCAUGUUAGAAUUAAGACUUGCAAAAAUUAGAUGGGAAUUUCCCUGGCGGAAAUGCCUCGGCUUAACAGGAGAGAAAAAGAAGAUUAUAUAAACAAAGAGAAUGAUUAAUGUACUUACACAUAAAAUGGCUAAGAAUAAAACUACAAGUCUAAUGUUACAACAGUAAAAUGGUCUUUGAGCUGCAGCUGAGCCACUUGGCCUUUUCCGAAUUAAUGUUGAGCUGCCUGAUAUCAUGAUUAACAGAGCUAGAGUCUUCUGGAGAAGACAUUAUUUCAAACCAAUAUUAUAAGCUUAACUAAUUCAAGUACCUUCGAAUCUCAUCCAUCCUGUAACCUGAAUUUCCAUAGUGUUAAUUUCUUAGCUUUGGGAAUCUUUUGAACCAUCCAAGCAGCUUGUCUGAGAUUUACAAUUGAGUAGAAUUCUAGUUCAUCAGAAUUAUGUAUCAAUCUUCAGUUAACAAAAUAAUAUGAGGAUUAAAUAGAAAAAAUAGAAUGUUAUAUCAUUCAUAACGGUAUAACUGCUCUUUAAAUUUAAAUGUACAUUUGAAUAUUCACAUUCAAAUGAAUUGGUGGGUUCACAACAAAGUAAACAGACUUAGUAUUUGGAAUAACAUGAGACACAACGAUUCACUACGAAAAGUGGAAUAAUAGCUUCAGGACAUCACACUGUAUUAAGAGUACCCGAAGGGCAUGUAGAUUAAGCAGAGACAGUAACAGGGCAGCUCUCCUUUGGCGUGUCAGCUGAAAUAUACAAUUGCAUGCCAAUAGAGAGUAGCCCUAUCACUGUUUCCCUUACAAAUUCAAGAAUAUAUUUUCAUUUACAAAAUCUAGUUUUCUUCUUUCUCUGGUUCACCACAGCAAAGCCUUCAAUGCUUUUAUUGGCAUUCCUUGUCAGUUUAAGAGACGGUAUAAACCUUUGGAGAGAAUCAGCAUAUCCUAUGUGAUUUUUUGGUUCUAGUUGUGGUCUGCGGAUAUCUUCUUGCUUUAUGGGAUUGAUUUUUCUAGAGUUACAAAAUGUGGCAACUUUCUUAUCCUUUACAAUUUCAUUUCCUAAAAGCAACUCCUUUAAAAAUAUUUUCAUCAGAUUCCAUCAAGAAAAAGUUGCUGAAAGUUGAUGCUGCAUGAUUUUAUGCCUUUGAUGAAGUGUGUGCCAUUUGACUCAAGGAGAGAAAUACAGCAUAUCCUUUCAUCAUAUUCCUUAUUUUUUCUGUUCUUCUUUUCUAUGUUACAUUUUCUAUUUGGUUUUGAAUUUUGAUAUUUGUUAUUCAUGCGGCUUUUCGAUUUCCCUAAUUCCACUCUUGCUUAUGUCAUGGAAUUUUUAGAGGCCAGGAAAUGAAGAGUACUGCUUCCUUUGUCUGACAGUUAGACAUAAUAAAAGUUCGAAUAAGGUGCUUGUUCUGUUCACUCCUAAUAAAAGUUCCAAGUGUAUCAACAUUUCUGCCAGUUUACUCUAAAGACAUUUGAAGCUGCACAACUGCAGCAUCAUAUAUCACCAAAAUUCACUAAAUUAAUACCAUACCGCCGUGUUGAAAGGUGCAAAAUGAUUGUAAACUGCCACAGAUAGGUAAUUAGUUCAGGUUAGCGUGAUAUGCAAACUGGAACAAAUGAUGACACUUUUGAGUAAUAUGAGAGAACUCAAAAAGACACUUUUGAAAAAUUUACUAGCCUAAUUAAGUGAGAGUGACACUAUGAAAUCAAAAAGCCACGAAAGCAAAAACGACCCUACAUAUAACAUAGAAAUGUCGACAUGGACAAAGGAAGAGGAAAUAUGACCAAGGAUAUGCUGUAAAAGAGUCAAGUGACCACCUAAUUAAGUGAUACUAGCAUUCAAAAACCGAGAAGCCACAAAAUGAAAUGGUAAAAGGGAUAUGGUAGUUCCAGCUUCUGACCCUAGAAAACACAAGAAGACACAAAAGAGGCAGGAUAUGCUGAUUCUCCAUGGGUUUAUACCGUCUCUUAAACUGAGAAGGAAUGAUCUAUAUAAGCUACGAGUGCUCUGCUGUGAUGAAACAGAAGCAGAAAAAGGAGAAUUGGUGAAUAAAAAUGUAUUCUUCAAUUUAUAAGGGAAACAGUGGUAGGGCUACUCUCUAUUGGCAUGCAGUGAUAUAGUUAAGCUGACAUGCCAAAGGAGAGCUGCCCUGUUACUGUCUCUGCUUAGUGUUAUUCUGAUGGAGCAGCUGUUGAACAAACUCUUUACAUUCUGUAUCCGCCACCGACAUGUCACUAUGUUCUUCUCUAACAAGAAGAAACAAUGACCGGAAUACUCUCUAUUGGCAUGUGGUUAUCUUUUCAUCACAUAUGUCAGAUGAAAUGCCAACACAGUUAUAUUUCUGCUUUAUGUUAUAACUCUGAUGCAAAAGAUGUUUACGUCACUUCAACAAAAACAACUUUUAGCAGCAUUAAAUAUUGACACUAAUAAAUAGUGCUAAAGUCUUUACCCGCAUUAGUUAAGUGCUAUUAGAACCAAUGUUGCUAAAGGGUUUAGGGACAUUUACAAAGAGUGACAAUUGCCGCUAAAAAUACAUAUUUAGCGGCAAAUUAAGAAUUAAAUGCCGCUAAUGGUCAUUUUUGUUGUAGUGCGUACUCUACCGACCGCUGCUGAGUUCAUAUGUUCUUCUGUAAAACCUGAAACUAAUUCCAGCAGGGUGGCACAAUGUACUUGUUGCUACUCUAUAUCUGUUGACCAAAAUGUAGAUGACAAGAAGGUAUAUUUUGAAUAAUCCUAAUCUGCAUGUAUUCUUUUACUCCAUGAUAGAUCCAAAUUCCAAACUGUAAAAAACUCCUAUGGUAUACUAAUUUUCCAGUAAAGGUUCCUGAUGGUGUUGCACUAAUCCUUGAUUUUCUUUUUGUGAUUUUUGCAACGCUGAUUGACAAAGCAUUGUCAGUCUUGACACAAACUAGGGGGUGUUUCACAUAAAUCACAGAUAUUCGUGGAUUACAUAUACAGAUGUAAAUGGUAUACAUGAGAUAUAUGGAAAUGCAAUUGAUAUACAAUGAUAUAGCUUAUAAACGCCAUAAAUGGAGUCAUGUGGCUAGCGGCCCCAGAGUCAAAGAUUCAAGUAUCUAACCCUAGUUUCAAUUAUGACAUGCAUGGAAAAAACAUAAAUUUAACUACAAAAAAGAUAAAUUAGAAAUGUUGCUAGAUAAGGAGCUAGUGAUCCAAGCAAUAUCAUAUCAUUGAACCCUUUCCAGUAAGGGUAAAUCUUCAACUUAGAAUAAAUGCUAAGAUCAAUCACCAUGCUACAUCAUCAUGAACGCCUUAAACAUCAUAGUAAAUUCAUUGUGAAACCUUUGAAUCAGAAGUAGAAUAGAGUAAACCCCUGCUGAAUCAGAAAUUGAACCCUAUCCAUAUAUUUUUUUUGGAAAUCAACCAAAAUACAAAAUCUAGCUUCUAGGAUGUGAUGCUUGUAGACACAUAAAUUGUAAUUGAACCAAUUUCAUACAAAAUUUGAAUUAAAUCCAUGUUCAUUUGGGUUUUACAAAUAAAUGAGUCUUUUUUAUUAAAGUUCAAAUCAAGGUCCAUUUCACCUUAAAGCCCAAACUCAUACCACGUGUCACAGUAACUAGGCAUCCGAAAUUAACAAGGUGACACCACCUGUCCAAAUGAGGUGUUAGUCCGAGUCAAGUGUAAGAACCAAUUACGGCAUUCCAAAUGUCAAAAUAACAUUCUUUGGCCAAUCAUAUGCAACCUUGUCCACCCCCUACAACUAUAAAUAGGGAAUGAACAUGACAUUCUAGGGAUCCAGAAAAAACUCUUCAACAAGCAUUCAACAAAUUGGAGAAAGCUACAACAUCAACAUCAAUAGUUCUUCGAAGGAGUGAUCAAUGGAGUUCUUCCCGGAGACCGACUUACAACGACGAAGCGCUUUCCGACGUCCCGGAGAUCGACAAAAUCUCAAGGAGGUCUACAUCAUCCAACAAUUCGAGAAAGACGCUACUGAAGGCCCUCGAAUCGCGGAGAAACUUAGGAGAGAGAAUCAAGAGAACAACGUAAUUGUACUCAUAACGAAUUAUUAAUAAAAUCACAUUUUCCUUUUAUUUAUUUUGCUUGAAGUUAAUUUUUCACGCUUACGAAAAUUUGUUGCGAACAAUGCUCUAAUGAGAGGAACAAGUAUAAUUCAUUUGCCUGCUAUAUUACCAUGUUAGAACUAGACUUGCAGAAAUUAGAUGGAAAUUUCGCUGGUGGAAAUGCCCCGGCUUAACCAGAGAGAAAAAAGAGAUUAUAGAAACAAAAUCAUGAAUUGAGAAUGAUUGAUGGAUCAAACUUUAUUUCAUAAAUGAAUCAAGUAUUUGUAAUUACACAUAGAAUGGCUAAGAAUAAAACUACAAGUCGAAUGUUACAACUGUAAAAUGAUCUCUGAGCUGCAGCUGAACCAAUUGGUCUUUUCCGAAUCAAAUGUUGAGCUCCCCAAUAUCAUGAUUAACAGGGAAAGAGUCCUCUAGCGAAAACAUAUUUCAAACCAAUAUUAUAAACUUAACUUAUUCGAACACCAGAAUAAUUACCCAAGUUUGAAAUGUACAUUUGAAACUUAAAAGUUUUUACAAGUACCUUUGGAUAAGUCACAACCUCAUCCAUCCUGUAACCUGAAUUUCCAAAGUGUUAAUUUCCUAGCUUUGGAUAUAUUUUGAACCAUCCAAGCAGCUUGUCUGAAAAUUACAAUGGAGUUGCAUUCUAAUUCAUCAGAACUAUGUAUAAAUCUUCAGUUUACAAAAAUAAUUUGAGGAUUAAAUUCAAAAAAUAGAAUAUAAAGUUAUAUCAUUCAUAACGCUAUAACUGCUCUUUAAAUUAAAAUGUUUAUUUAAAUAUAUACAUCUCACAGUCGCAUUCAAAUCAAUUGAUGGGUUCAGAACAAAUUAAACAAGACUUAAUAUUUGGAAUAACACGAGAACAGAACAUUCAAUAUGGAUAACUAAUUAGCUAAUGCUUUGUAUUUAAUUUGAAAAUCAAUGUAGACGUUGAAGAAAGUAGAAAAAUACCUUCAAGACAUCACACUAUAUUAUGAGUGCCCGAAUGGCAUGUAGAUUAAGCAGAGACAGUAACAGGGCAGCUCUCCUUUGGCGUGUCAGCUGAAAUAUACAAUUGCAUGCCAAUAGAGAGUAGCCCUAUCACUGUUUCCCUUAUAAAAUCAAGAAUAUAUUUUCAUUUACCAACUCUUGUUUUCUUCUUUCUAUGGUUCACCACAGCAGAGCUUUCAAUGCUUUUAUAGGCAUUCCUUCUCAGUUUAAGAGACGGUAUAAACCCUUAUACCCUUGAAGAGAAUCAGCAUAUCCUAUGUGAUUUUUUGUUCUAGUUGUUGUCUGCGGAUAUUUUCUUGCUUUAUGGGAUUGCUUAUAGUCAAAAAAUGUGGUAACUUUCUUAUCCUUUACAAUUCAUUUCCUAAAAGCAUCUCCUUUAGAAGUAUUUUCGUCAGAUUCCAUCAAGAAAAAUUUGAUGCCACAUGAUUUUAUGCCUUUGAAGUGUGUGCCAUUUGACUCGAGGAGCUUCAAACAGCAUAUCCUUUCAUCAUAUUCCUUAUUUUUUCUAUUCUUCGUUUCUCUUUUACAUUUCUAUGUUACGUUUUCUAUUUGGUUUAGAUUUUUGUUAUUCAUGCGGCUUUUCGAUUUCCCUAAUUCCACUCUUGCUUAUGUUAUGGGACUUUUAGGAUUCCAUCUCUUUUAGAGGCCAAGAAAUGAAGAGUACUGCUUCCUUUGCCUGACAGUUAGACAUAAUAGAAGUUUGAAGUGUGUAAUCAUUUGUGCCAGUUUACUCUUAAGACAGUUGAAGCUGAACAACUGCAGCAACAUAUAUCAAUACAGUCGAAUUCCGGAUGCUAUAUAAUAAGACAAGUAAAAAUUGAAUAAGACUUCUUUUCGAGAGACAAAAAACUACCAGUUAACGAGUUAAGUUUCUUCCACCAGCGCCAAAAGUCUCUCACGCUAAAUGACCAUUAUAAAAUAUUAUCACAUUUUACAACAUAAUACUCUUCUGUCAUUUAGGGGGAAAAGAAUUAGAGCAACUUCCUAUUUGAAACAGACUUAAACACUUAAGACAUAUAAAUCGAAAUAGACUGAGUAAUCUUUGUCCUUUUAGAAUACUAUACUAUAAUUUUUAUCACAUAGAGGUAGAGAAAGGGAAAUGAGGUACGUAUUAUAAAGUGGGAAUCAAAUCCUCAUCAGCAAUGUAAAGCUCAGUUAGCCAUUUAACUUAAUUUAAGAUCUCUGUUUUAGAAUACUAUACUAAUAUCUCUGUAGUUAUUUGCUUCUCCAAACAACGGACACCCUUAUUCCAACAGUGGCUUUUAUGGUUAAACUCUUGUAGUGUCUGGCUCGACGACUUUAUUUAUCAAUUGUUGGAAAUAGGUGGCUUUUAUCAAUUAUUACUUGAUAUUCAGCUGAUUCAACUUUCUAAUUUAGAAGUUAACAUUGAUAUCGAUAUUGAUAUAGAUAUAGAUAUAGAUGUGAUGUAGGUACAUGGGGCAUAGGUUUGAGGGAAGACUAGCUGGUGCAAGAAUCUAGGAUGGUAUUAUAUGAAUGUAUUCUUAUGUAACACCAGGAAAUCGAAAAACCACACAAAGGCAAAAAGAUCCUCCAUAGAAAUGUCGAUGUGAACAAAGAAGAGGAGAAUGAGGAAUAUGACCAAGGAUAUGUUGUAAAAGACUCAAGUGACACACUUCAUAUAGUCACAAAAAGUACCUAAUUAAGUGAGGCUAGCAUUUGGAAACCGAAGAGCCACAAAAAUGAAAUGGUAAAAGGGAUAAAAGUUGCCCAUUUCCUGACCCUAGAAAAAGCAAGAAGACAUAAAAAUGGCAGGAUAUGCUGAUUCUCCAUGGGUUUAUACCGUUGCUUAAACUGAGAAAGAAUGAUCUAUAUAAGCUUGGAAGGCUCUGUUGUGAUGCAACAGAAGCAGAAAAAUGAGAAAAAAAGAGUUGGCGAAUAAAAAUGUAUUUUUGAAUUUAUAAGAGAAACAGUGGUAGGGCUACUCUCUAUUGGCAUGCACUUAUAUAUUUAAACUGACAUGCCAAAGGAGAGCUGCCCUGUUACUGUCUCUGCUUAAUGUUAUUCUGUUGAACCCACUGUUCCCGUACUGUAUCCGCCACCGGUAAGUCACUAUGUUCUUCUCUAACAAGAAGAAACAGUGAUAGAGAUACUUUCUAUUGGCAUGUGGUUAUUUAUUCAUCACAUAUUCAGAUGAAAUGCCAAAAGAAGAGUUGCAUGGUUCCUGUUUCUUCUCUGAUGCAAAAGUUGCUUACAUACUCUAUCCACCGCUGCAGAUUUAAUAUGUUCUUCUCUAUAACCUGAAACUAAAUUUCCAACAGGGUGGCACAAUGUACUUGUUGCUACUAUAGAUCUGUUGAUCACAACAUAGAUUGCAAGAAAGCAUAUUUUGAAUAAUCCUAAUCGGCAAUGUGUUCUUUUACUCCAUGAUAGAUCCAAUCUGUAGAAGACUCCUAUGGUAUUCCAGUAAUGGUUCAUGGAUGGUGUUGUACUAAUCCUUGAUUUAUUUUAUUCUAUUUUAUUUUUGCAACACUGAUUGACAGAGCAGUGUCAGUCUUGACACAAAUUAGGGGGUGUUUCACAUAAAUCACAAAUUAUUGUGGAUUAUAUAUACUGGUAUAUGGUAUACAUGAGAUAUAUGGAAAUACAAUGUGAUAACACUGAUAUAGCUUAUAAACACCAUAAAUGGAGUCAUGUGGCUAGCCCUAAUUGCAAUGAUGAACAUGCAUGGAAAAACACAAAUUUAACUACAUAAAAGAUAAUUAAACCUGCAGAAUGAGCAUAAGGAGAAAUAUCUCCAAAAGAAACAUCAUUAUUGAACCUAGGAGAGAUUUGAUUAUUUGGAAGGAAGAGUCAUGCGAUAUUCGUAUUGCUUCUGAGUAAAUUCAUGUGCUGAAUGAUCAACAAGUUGGGAUGUGGAUGCUUAAAAGUAUAGGAGUAAAAUUAUCAACAUGGACAGAGAAAAUGAUGAACUUAUAACACUUUUAAGUGUGUCCUGACUUCUUGCAAGAGACAAAAGGACAUGCUGUGCCUUAAAUUAGACUCUUUGAGUAAAACUUCUUCCACAGCAGAAGGAGCAGAGGAGGAAGAAAGUAUGACUUCUCUCACUAUUUCUUGUCAUGUUUUAACACAGAGUAAGAUCUACUAAUAGAGGGAAGGGGGGGGGGGGUAUUGGAACAUCACGAGUCAAUUUAGUUAUGAAGUCGUACUAAGUUCGAGCAGUCUCUAUCCCUGUUUAUUUAGGAUUAAGUUUCAACAGUUAUUGUCUAGUUAGGUUUUAUUACUUCACUUCGUUUAGGAGUCUUUCCACUGUAAUUCUAUUUAAGCAACAUUCUAUCGUCAUUAAUAAAUCAUCAUCUUUCUACUUAUAGCCAGUCUUUAUAUGGUAUCAGGGCUCUUCACACUCUGAUGAGAACGAUCCAAAUUUUUCCUUUCUUCUUCCUCCUCACGCAGAUCAACAAUGACCAAUUCAAAUGGGAACAACAAUGGCAAUACUUUUUCUUCUUUGCCCAAUACUUUUUCUUCUUUGCCGCAAUCUCUCAUGAUUGUACACAUACGACACCAUGCCUUCACUUUAUUAAUCAUCAAAACUACUUUAUUUGUUCUCCUACUUCCAACAUUUCCCCCCUUUUUGAUGAUGAUAACCAAUGAUUUAUUACACAUCAAGACUAUUUGUUAGUCAUCAAAACUACAACUCUUUGUCAUCCAUCAAAACUACAAACUUUAAGUUUUCUCAUUCCCCAACACAAAUGCAUAGUGCAAGAACUGCAAACAACUUGGUCAUGAAGCUGUAAUUUGCAAAAGCAAAUUUCAAAAGGAUGAAGCAGUUGUCCAAGUCACAACUGAAGAAGAAAAAGACCACUUAUUUGUGGCAACUUGUUUUUCAACCAAAAAAUCUGAUUUUUGGAUGAUUGAUAAUGGUUGUACAAACCACAUGACAUAUGAAAGAAAUCUUUUUAAAGAGUUCAUUCCUAUGGAAAUUAAGAAAGUCAGAAUUAGGAAUGGUGAUUGUAUUCCUGCAAAAGAAAAAGGUUAUGUUUCAAUUAAAACAAAUUCAGGUACAACAUAAUUUCAGAUGUUCUUUAUGCGCGUGAUAGUUAUAAAAGUUUGUUUAGUGUUGGUCUGUUAAUCGAAAAAGGAUAUAAAUUAUUAUUUGGAGACAAAUAUUAUCGAAUCUUUGAUUCUAUUAAAAAGAAAUUUUACAAGUUGAAAUGCGAGGUAAGAACUUCUCAUUUAGUCCAUCAGAAGAUGCACACAAGUCUUGCAAGACAAAGGAUGAAUUAGCAGGUUUGUUCACAAGGUCAAUUCAGAUGAGACAACAAUCUACAAUUCCUGAUCCAAGAAAGAGUGUUGAAAAUAUGUCUCGGUAUAUUACAGUAAUAAAUCAGUUAGCUACUUUUAGAACUUUUAGACAUGCUCAAAAUGCAAUCCAAGGUGGAGAUAAAAAGAUAAGUUUGGUCCCUGUAAGGUCAAACCCAAUGGAAGAAAAGUUCACAUGCCAAUUUACUUAGUUAAGAAUUAAACUUGGAGAGCAAGCUAUAAUUUGUGGAAAAAUUCUGUAUUUCUUUUCUUUUGUUCUUGGAGCAUAAGUUUGACCACCUAUAAAAGGAUAGUCAUUCUUCAUUGUUGAAAACAUCCUAAAACUCAUAGUAAAAUACAUUAAAAGAGUAGAGAAUUAUUAGAGCAAUUGUCUAAGAUGUAUUUGACAUCUCUCCCCUUUCUUUGUUAAUAUAAAGACGGUUGUUCUCUAGUGGACGUAGGAUCAUUCUGAUCCGAACCACGUUAUUGCUGUUCAUCCUUGCUCUUUAUUUUUACGUUUCCUCUAACAUUAAUUAUGUGUUUCGAAGAUACAAUAAUAUAAAUGUUCACAUUUGACAGAGGAAAAAUUCUUUAUAGACAUUUCUACGUUUAUGUUCCAGUAAACCAUUUGGUUUGUGAGUUAUUUGUCAUGAUCAAAAACUUUCAACUUAAUAUCUGUCUUGUUCUCCUUUUUCCUCUUAAAUAAAACUUGAGAAUGUCAUGUAUAAGUGUGUGGCAUAUGUAUAUGCGGCCGAAUAUCAUUGAGUAUUUUCUACCUUCCACCAAUAUAGGUAUUAGAGAAAUAUUGUGUUAUCAAUUUGUAUUCUUGUAUAAUAUUAAUACUAGAACACAUGCUACAAUUGUUCAGCUUCCUUAAACACAGUUUUUUUGCAUUAAUGUGGACUGCCUGCUAAUUCGUUAUAAUAUCAUAUGUAAUAAUAAUAUGUAAGAGAGCAUAUAUUAAUUAGCAUGGGAGAGUGAAUAUAUUGUUAUCAGUUGGGGAAUAGAUGACGACAUUUCGAGUAAAUAACUCAACAAACUAUGGCCGUCAGAGGAGUUGGAAUCUUAAAAUUUCAAUAGCAUAAGCAAGAAUGACAUGCAUUCUGGAAAUGGAAAAGCUAAAAGUAAACAGAGGAAACUAAGGAAUAUGACAAAGGAUAUGCUGUUUGAAGGUUCUGUUGGUUUUAGCAAGUGUGAAUGAGAAAAGAAAAGAGAGAAUAUGAAAAGUAAGGGAACUACUUUGGCUUUGGAUUUGACAAAUGAUUUGAUUGAUUGAUAAAUUUUUUGGAUAAAAUUUAUUUAAUCAAUUUUUGUUAAAUCAAAUAAAUUCUGUUAAUAUUAUCUCUUAUAAAUUUGCGGGUAACGGUAACAUUUCGAAAAGUUGUUACUUUUCCGAAAAGUCGUUACUUUCCAAAAAGUAGUUAUUUUCCUAACAGACACAUUUUUUUCGAAAAGUUGUUAUUUUUUCCACAAGACACAACUUUCUGGAUAAAAUGGGUCUGAACAAAUUUCACUGAACAGACAUGUCCCUUGCUGAAAAUGGCUAUAAAAGGAAGUCAAUUUUUGAUUUUUCAAACACUGAAAUUUUUUUCUUUCUCGCAUUUAUUUUUCUCUCAAAUAAAAUCAAAGUGUCGAUCGACUGAGUCUGUGUGACUUGUUGCUGUUCUUAAGUUCGUUGAAGUUAAAGAAGUUUGAGGUACCGCUAUUUUUUUAACAGGUUUAAUCCGUUUUAUCUUGGGAGAAAUUAAUCCAUAACCUUGGGUACAGUGAGGGGAUUAAAUUUCUUAAGGACACACAGUAGUUUCUGUGGACUCGGAUUAAUUCUUGUAUUUUAUAUUUUUUCUGCUUCAUCUUAUUUCUGUUUCUGUUUAUUAACAUUAUAAAUACAGGUUAUUGUAAGAAAAUAACAAUCUUAAGAAAUUUAACAGUUUAUGUAUUUGAGGUUUCUGGAGAUUAAAACCUUUAUGGUUUUCUACUCUGAUUGAAUUUUUAAAAAUUCAUUCGAUUAACGAUUAAAAGAACAUAAAAACUUUAUCGUUAAAUCAGAAACAGUUUGUGUAAAGAUUUGUUCUUUACUGUUAGUAUUUUAAAUACUUAAUUUAUCUGCCAUUUGUGAGAGAAAAAAAUGACUAAUUCAAGUCAAACAAAUGCUGGAACAGUAAGUGCUGCAACAACAACGGUUGCACAUAAUUGUUCAAAUGCUGCCUUAGCACCGGCUGAGAAACCUGCAAAGUUUUCUUGAGUCUACUUUAAGAGAUGACAGCAAAAGGUGUUCUUCUAUCUCACUACGUUGAGUCUGCAGAAGUUCAUCAAUGAGAAUGUUCCUGUUAUGUCAGAUGAAACUCCGGCUGAUGAACGAUUCUUGGUAACAGAAGCAUGGACACACGCAGAUUUUUUAUGUAAAAAUUAUAUUUUGAGUGGUCUGCAAGAUGAUCUGUACAAUGUGUACAACAAUGCCAAAACCUCAAAAGAACUCUGGGAUGCUUUAGAAAAGAAGUACAAAACAGAAAAUGCCAGAAUGAAGAAAUUCAUUGUGGCAAAAUUUCUGGACUAUAAGAUGAUAGACAAUAAGACUGUCGUCACCCAAGUUCAAGAAUUGCAGGUCAUAAUCCAUGAUCUCCUUACUGAAGGUAUAAAUUUAUUUAAUGCCUAUGUUAGAAAUAUUAAGUUUUCCCUUAAUACUCACAUAACCUUUAAUGUAGGAUUGAAUGUGAAUGAUACUUUUCAAGUGGCUGCAAUUAUUGAAAAGUUACCUCCAUUGUGGAAGGACUUUAAAAACUACUUGAAACACAAACGCAAGGAGAUGACUGUUGAAGAUCUCAUAGUAAGGUUGAGAAUCGAAGAGGAUAAUAAGGCUGCAGAAAAGAGGUCACGUGGUAAUUCAGCAAUAUCUGGAGUAAAUUUUGUUGAAGAAAAUUCCACAAAAUUAAAGAAAAGAAAGAAAGCAUCUGGUCCAAAAAGCAAUCCUCCUAAGAAGAAAUUCAAUGGAAACUGCUUUAAUUGUGGCAAACAUGGUCAUAGGGCUAAUGAAUGCCGGGGUCCUAAGAAGGACAAGAAAAAGAAAGAUCAAGCAAACUUGGCUGAAUCCAAAGGAGAAAUGGACGAUCUCUGUGCAAUGCUUUCAGAAUGUAACUUGGUUGGAAAUCCAAGAGAAUGGUGGAUAGAUUCUGGUGCCUCAUGCCAUGUUUGUGCCAACAAAGAAUUAUUUUCAUCAUAUACUCCAGCACUUAUAGAUGAAAAAUUGUUUAUGGCAAACUCCGAUGUUGCAAAGGUGGAAGAAACUGGCAAAGUCCUAUUAAAGAUCACAUCAGGCAAGGUGGUGACUUUGAAUAGGGUCUCAUAUGUUCCAGAAUUGAGAAAGAAUUUAGUUUCAAUUCCAGUUCUGACCAAGAAUGGAUUUAAAUGUGUAUUUGUUUCUGAUAAAGUAGUAGUAAGCAAAAAUGAUAUGUAUGUAGGAAAAGACUACCUUAGUGAUGGCCUUUUCAAACUCAAUGUAAUUGCAGUUGAUAUGAAUAAAGAUUUUGCUUCUUCUUACUUGCUUGAGUCUAAAUGUUUAUGGUAUGAACGUUUGGGACACGUUAAUAACAAAACCUUGCGAAAACUGAUUAACUUAAAUAUUUUGUCAAAAUUUGAGUGCAAUAAAUCAAAAUGUCAAAUUUGUGUUGAAUCUAAGUAUGCUAAGCAUUCUUAUAAAUCUGUUGAAAGGAAUUCAAAUCCUUUAGAAUUGAUUCACACGGAUAUUUGUGACAUGAAGUCAACACCAUCACGUGGUGGAAAAAAGUAUUUCAUAACUUUUAUUAACGAUUGCACUAGAUAUUGUUAUGUCUAUUUGCUAAAUAGCAAGGAUGAAGCAAUAGAUGCAUUUAGGCAAUAUAAAACUGAAGUUGAAAAUCAGUUAGAUAAAAAGAUCAAAAUGAUCAGAAGUGAUAGAGGUGGAGAAUAUGAAUCUCCAUUUUCAGAAAUAUGUUUAGAAAAUGGAAUAAUCCAUCAAAUUACUGCUCCCUACACUCCUCAGUCUAAUGGAAUUGCAGAAAGAAAAAAAUCGAACUUUAAAAGAAAUGAUGAAUGCAUUACUUAUAAGUUCAGGUUUACCACAGAACUUGUGGGGGGAAGCUAUCCUUACAGCAAAUCAGAUACUUAACAGAGUGCCUCACUCAAAGACAAAUGUAAUUCCAUAUGAGAAAUGAAAAGGUAGAAAACCCAAUUUGAAAUAUUUCAAAGUGUGGGGGUGUCUAGCCAAAGUCCAAGUUCCUAUACCUAUGAGGGUAAAAAUAGGACCUAAGACUGUGGAUUGUGUAUUCAUUGGAUAUGCCACAAACAAUAAGGCAUGUCGAUUUUUGGUUCAUAAGUCCGAACAUUCGGAUAUUCAUGAUAAUACGGUAAUGAAAUCAGAUAGUGCUGAAUUUUUUGAACAUAUCUAUCCGUAUAAAACUAGACUUGAGUCAUCUAGUGGGGGAUCUAAACAACCCAUAGAAGAACCAAAAGAGAAUGAACAAAAUGAAGAAAGUCCAAGACGCAGUAAACGUCAAAAGACAUAUACAUCAUUUGGAUCAGAUUUUGUAACAUUUCUUCUUGAAAGUGAGCCUCAAACAUUCAAGGAAGCAAUGUUGUCUAGCGACUCAACCUCUUGGAAGGAGGCUGUUAAUUGUGAAAUUGAAUCAAUCUUAAGCAAUCAUACUUGGGAGUUGGUUGAUCUUCCUCCAGGGAACAAACCCUUGAGUUCAAAAUGGAUCUUUAAAAGGAAGAUGAAAGACGAUGGAACUAUUGACAAAUAUAAAGAAAGACUUGUUGUCAAAGGUUUUAGACAAAAAGAAGGUCUUGAUUAUUUUAACACAUACUCGCCCGUGACUAGAAUUACAUCAAUUCGGAUGUUAAUUGCACUAGCUGCAGUAUACGGUCUUGAAAUUCAUCAAAUGGAUGUGAAAACAACCUUCUUAAAUGGAGAGCUUGAAGAGGAAAUUUACAUAGAAGAUCCUGAGGGCUUUGUAGUUCCUGGUAAAGAAAAGAAAGUGUGCAAACUCAUUAAGUCACUUUAUGGGCUAAAACAAGCACCAAAACAAUGACAUGCAAAGUUUGAUCAAACCAUAUUGUCAAAUGGAUUUAAGAUCAAUGAAUGUGAUAAAUGUGUUUACAUUAAAGAUACUCCAAAUCAGGAAGUUAUUUUAUGCCUAUAUUUAGAUGAUAUGCUUAUAAUGAGCAAAGAAAUUGCUAAUAUAAAAGCUACAAAGCGUAUGCUUGCUAGUAAGUUUGAUAUGAAAGAUUUAGGAGUUGCUGAUGUGAUAUUAGGAAUUAAAAUUCUUAAAACUCCUAACGGUCUAGCAUUGUCUCAAACUCAUUAUAUUCAAAAGAUACUUGAAAAAUUCAAAUUUUUGAAUUUUAAAAGGGCAAAGACUCCAAUUGAUGUAAAUCUUCAUCUUGCAAAGAAUAAAGGCGAAAGUCAGUCUCAAUUGGACUAUGCUAGCGUAUUGGGAAGCUUAAUGUAUGUCAUGAAUUGUACACGACCAGACAUAGCUUGCGCUAUCAGUAAAUUGAGUCGAUACACAAGUAAUCCUAAUCAUAAUCAUUGGUUGGCAAUGAAGAGAGUUUUGGGAUACUUAGAUGACACUCAAAACUAUGCUUUACAUUACAACAAAUAUCCAACCGUUCUUGAAGGAUAUAGUGAUGCAAAUUGGAUUAAUGGAUCAACUGAAACAAAAUCCACAAGUGGAUACAUUUUUACGAUUGAUGGAGGAGCAAUAUCUUGGAAAUCAUCCAAAUAAACAUGUAUAGCUCGCUCUACAAUGGAGUCUGAAUUCAUUGCUUUAGACAAGGCAGGUGAAGAAGCUGAAUGGCUCCGGAAUUUCUUAGAAGAUAUUCCAUUUUGGCCCAAACCAAUGGCCCCUAUAUGCAUACAUUGUGAUGGUCAAGCUGCAAUAGGAAGGGCUGGAAGCAUUAUGUAUAACGGCAAGUCUCGUCACAUAAGACGAAGACAUAACUCUGUGAGACAACUACCCUCUAGUGGAAUUAUCACAAUUGACUAUGUGAAGUCAAAAGAUAAUGUGUCGGAUCCACUUACAAAAGGCCUAAAUAGAGAGGGAGUUGAGAAAUCAUCGACGGAAAUGAGACUAUGGCCGAGAACAAGUCAUCGUGGCGGUAACUCUACCUAGAAGACUGGAGAUCCCAAGAUCUAGGUUGAAGGAGAUAAAACAAAGUCAUUGAUGACGGUUCAACAUUGUCAAAGAAAAAAAAAUAAAAUAAAAUUAUUAUUAUUAUUUUAUGGUCCAUUCUCAUGACGAGACAAUGUUUAGUAACCAGGAUAAAGACAUAAGGAAUUUUUAAUGGUUUCUAAGUUUGAUACAGGGAAUAUCAAAUGGUGUAUCUAUGGGAUAACACAUUUAAAAAUCACCUAUGUAAGUGUGAUGUGUAAGCCGCUUCAAGGAGAAUCCGGUAAGACCAGUUCUUUAAGCACUUACUAUCCAAGAUGUGUUCAUGGCCGAAACGAACAAAACAAUGAGAACUAAGAACAGUUCAAGGGUUGAUCGUGUGACAUAUGUUGUCUAGGUAUACACCAAAGCUCGACGGUUCAAAGAUAUCAAAUCUACCGAUUGACCGAGUAUAUCCGAUAUAUGUUCACUACGGAAAGUUUAAAGGGAAACCUACUUAUCCAGAUGCGAUUAACCUUUACCUACAAGACACACAAGUUUUUUCAUGCAUAUGUUUUAACAAUAGCCUUCCCCAUUCAUGUGGGGGAUUGUUGGGUUUUAGCAAGUGUGAAUGGGAAAAGAAAAGAGAGAAUAUGAAAAAUAAGGGAACUACUUUGACUUUGGAUUUGGCAAAUGAUGUGAUUGAUUGAUAAAUUUUUUGGACAAAAUUUCUUUAAUCAAUUUUUGUUAAAUCAAAUAAAUCCUGUUAAUAUUAUCUCUUAUAAAUUUGCGGGUAACGAUAACAUUUCAAAAAGUUGUUACUUUUCUGAAAAGUCGUUACUUUUUUAAAAAGUAGUUAUUUUCCUAACAGACACAUUUUUUCGAAAAGUUGUUAUUUUUUCCAAAAGACACAACUUUCUGGAUAAAAUGGGUCUGAACAGAUUUCACUGAACAGACAUGUUCCUUGCUGAAAAUGGCUAUAAAAGGAAGUCAAUUUUUGAUUUUUCAAACACUGAAAAUUUUUUCUUUCUCGCAUUUAUUUUUCUCUCAAAUAAAAUCAAAGUGUCGGUCGACUGAGUCUGUGUGACUUUUUGUUGUUCUUAAGUUCGUUGAAGUUAAAGAAGUUUGAGGUACCGCUAUUUCUUUAACAGGUUUAAUCCGUUUUAUCUUGGGAGAAAUUAAUCCAUAACCUUGGGUACAAUGAGGGAAUUAAAUUUCUUAAGGACACACAGUAGUUUCUGUGGACUCGGAUUAAUUCUUAUAUUUUAUAUUUUUUCUGCUUCAUCUUAUUUCUGUUUCUGUUUAUUAACCUUAUAAAUACAUGUUAUUGUAAGAAUAACAAUCUUAAGAAAUUUAAAAAUUUCUGUAUUUGAGGUUUCUGGAGAUUAAAACCUUUAUGGUUUUCUACUCUACUUGAAUUUUUAAAAUUAACAAUUUGGAAAUUCAGGUUACAGGAUGGAUGAGGUUCAGCAGAUCACACAAUUUUCCAUCAGGAAAAUGUUGCAAAUGUUACAAAGUGAUUUAUCUAAAGGAACUUGAUAAUUUUUUAAGUUUCAAAUAUACAGUACAAACUCGGGAAUUAUUCUGGAGUUCGAGUUUGAAUUAGUUAAGUUUGUAAUAUUGGUUUGAAAUGAUGUCUUCUCCAGAAUACUCUAGCCCUGUUAAUCAUGAUAUAGAGGAGCUCAACAUUGAUUCGGAAAAGGCCAACUGGUUUAGCUACAGCUCAAAGACCAUUUUAUAGUUGUAACAUUAGACUUGUAGUUUUAUUCUGAGCCAUUUUAUGUGUAACUACAAUUACUUGAUUCAUUUAUGAAUUGAAGUUUGAUACAUCAAUCAUUCUCAAUUCCAAUGAAUGGUUUAUUUUUGUUAUCUCUUUUUUAUCUGUCGUUAAGCCGGGGCAUUUCCAUUGAAAUUUUGCAAGUCUAAUUCUAACAUGGUAUCAUAGCCGGCAAAUGAACUUUUAUUUUGGAGCUGGUGUUAAGUUUUGAUAAAUUAACAAACUUAGAGAUCAAACAGGGAAUCAGAUCCUUGUUAUUGGGACUGAUGACGGUGAAAUGAAUGAAUAAACUUAGUGUGAAGAAUAUUUAUGUAUCAUCAUCAAAAAGGGAGAAAAUGUUAUAUUCUAGGUGUUUUGAUGAUCCUUAACAAAUGUAGGAACCUAGUCCUUGGCAGAGUGCUCUCAUCCAGAUUCAAAUGGAGUACAACUAUAAAGUUGUCAUAUCAUGUGAUAGGUGAAAAGUGCAAUUUUCUGCACCAAUAGGAAGAGCGGACGAGAUUGUCUGUUUCAAUGGCUCACAAAUGCAGGGACCUGAUCCCUGACAGAGUUCUCUCCAUUAGAUGCAUAAUGGGGUACAUCUCUAAAGCUAUCAUGUCAGUGGUUGGUGAGGCGCCAGCGUACUGAACCAAUCAGAAUGGACGGGGGUGUGUUUUCCCAACAUGUAAUAACUCUUUAUGGUUGAUAUUUUCAACAUGACAAACACCAUAUUAAAUUCAUUCAUUCAAAGAAGUAAGUUAGUCAGCAAGCCUUCAAGAACUCACAAAGAACAUUGCAAGGGACCUGGUCCCUUCAAGAUUGCUUACAUGAAAAGGUGACAAGAUAACUAUCAAAAAGCUGUCACCUCUGAUGUGGUAGGUGAACAUCUUUCCUGAACAGUAGACCUUCAGUCAAUAGGUUUGACUCAACGAGUUUGUGUUGAUUUUUUAGUCUCUUCUCAAAAACACAAACUCAACAUUUGACAAAUAAAAUCUCAUAAGCUUAAAAAGAGAAGGUCAUCUUCAAGGAAGAAUUCAAGCACAACAACACAUACAACAAGGACCUGAUCAAUAGAAGGAGUGCUUUCCGUACCUGCUGUUAUUCUUGAUUGUUGUAGUGUAAACCGUGUUUCACUUUUGCUUGAGAAGAUCAGUGAAAAUAGUUUGAAAGUCCUGUGUGACAAGUCGUGAUUUUACUCCCUUGAGCAAAGAGGUUUCCACAUAAAAUUCUUAGGCCUGUUUUACAUUGUGCUAUUUAUUUUCUGCAUUUUGUCGGGACCUGGUCUUGUGAUCAGUAGUGGACGUGUACAUUCCAUCAUGAACUAUACAUGUUCCUCUCAUUAGAGCAUCAUAUCCUCGAAGCUAGAUUUUGUAUCUUAAUUAAUUUUCAAAAUUCAGUAUACGGAUAGGGUUCAAUUUCUGAUUAAAAUAGGGGUUUAGUCUAUCCUACUUCUGAUUCAAAGGUUUUAAAAUGGAUUAUGGUAGUAUUUCAGGCACUCAUGAUGAUGUAUUAUUCUGGCAUGGUGACUGAUCUUAGCAUUUAAUUUGAGAUGAAGACUUCUACUUUUUCAGGUUUUAGAAAAAGAGUGGUACUAUCUUCGUAUUGCGUGUAUCAUUCUACUCCUCAGUACUUCUCGAUGUCUAUUGAUACACCAAAUGUGACCUCGAUCAUCUACGUCUUCUCAUAGCCCUCAAACUCAUUUAGUUUCCCCUUCUUUCGGUGGAACUGGCUUUGUGGCAAGGGGAAACAACAUGUUAAUCUUUUUUUUCUGACAAAUAUAAAUUGGGGUCAUAUGUUCUUCCGGGUGAACAGAUAAGUUUUGCUCAGGGAGUCUAAUUUAAGGCAAAGAAGGUUGUCCCAUUGUAUCUUGCAUAUAUCGCGUGAUAUACGCAUAUGGCAGUGAUGUCAAUGAAAUUUCAGAAGUCAACGUCUGACUAUGACUCUGUUACCAUGUAGAGAAUAGCAUAAGAAAUCAACUUUUCUGCAGUGCUGCAUUUCUACAAGAAUAUAAUAGUGCUGCAUUUCUACAAGACUGCAAGUCUAAGUGAAAGAUAUAGAAGCACUUUUAUCUGAGUCGAAAUAACAGUGGACGGUCGUGAACCUUUUCUCCUAUACAAUACAUUAGGACAUUUGUAAGUGCUUUUUGUUUAGAGUAUGACUUUAAGAACUCUCAUAUAACUCAUUUAUCUUAUUUUUUUUAGAAAAGAAGAAAUCCUAUUUCUCACAUAAGAAUUAUAUAUUUUCAUUAUCAAAUUUAAAUACUCAUUAGAACUCUUGGAUACCAUUCGGGAGAUUUAUUGUUCUUCUUCUCUUUUCCUUUCAUAAAUGCCAAUGCUACAGAUACUUAAAGACACGUCAUUAAUUUUGUAUAAAUUUCAUUUGUAUAACUUAAAUCUUGAUGUAAAAUCAAAUUAGAUGAUUUUCAAAAGGGAAAAGGGUCUGAUAUACCCCUCAACUUUGUCAUUUAGAGCUGAUAUACCCUUGUUAUGAAAGUGGCUCAUAUAUAGCCCUACUUGUAAACAAAUGGCUCACAUAUACCCUUUUUCUCUAACAGAAAUGAAAAAAAUAAUAAUUUUAAUCUAAAUUUUUAUUAUUUUUUUCUAAAAAGUAUAAUCUCAUAUGAGUAAAUUUAAUCCUCGUCAAACAUAUUUUUUUUUUUGACUUUUUUUGGUUUCAAUGACUAAUUUAUAAUUAUUAUUUUGAUAAUCAAAUUUAUUUAUGUUUCACUAAUAUUCUUGUAAAACUUAUUGUAGAUGAUCAAUUUUUUUCUUCGAAUACGAUAUUAAAUUACAAUACACACACAAAAAAUAGUUUAAUUUUUUAUUCUUUAAACUAAGGAAUGAAAGAAAAAAAUAAAAUAAGAAUAUGAAAUUCAAAUAAUUAUAAUAAAAGAAGUCAAAAAAUAAUUUAUGUAUGAAAAAAAUUAAAAUAUACCUUGAACUUUGAUAGAAGAAUCAUAUAUACCCCUAAAUAAUUUUUUAAAAAAAUUUAGAAGUAAUAAAUAUAAAUUUAAAACUAAUUUUUUAACUUCCGUUAAAUGAAGGGUAUAUGUGAGCCAUUUUGUAACGGCAGAGGUAUAUGUGAACCGUUUGUAUAACGGUAAGGGCAUAUAUGAGCCACUUUUAUAACGAGGGGUAUAUCAGCUCCAAAUGACAAAGUUGACGGUAAUAUCAGACCCUUUUCCCUUUUUCAAAAUAAUGCUACAUAUUUCAACGACUAAAUCUCUUCUUGAUUAUAAUUUAUAAAUGCAUGUUUAUUAGAAUAAUUUAUAUCACAAUUUCCUCCAAUCUCAUUUUAAGGAUGUAGCUGAUUGAUUUCGAUUUAAAUCAUUGUAUUGGUAACUGAAAGACAAGGUAAAUGGCUUGAAUAUGCAAAGAUAAUCUUUUUUAAAUAACAAGGUAAAUGACUUGAAUAUGCUCAAUGAUUGAAGUGUUAAACUGAAAAAUGUGAAUAGUUUAGGGAAUUUAGAGGAUUUAGUUCAAAAGAAAAUCUCACUUAGAUUUUCUUAUCGUUUAUCAAAAAAAAAGUAGGAUAGCGAAAAAGGAAAAAAUGUUAAAGAUUCUUGACCAAAAUCAAUUUACAGGUGUUAGAUUUCUUUUGGUCGUUUAUCAAAAAACAGGCAGGAUAGCAAAAUAGGAAAAAAUGUUAAAGAUUGUUGACAAAAAUAAAUUUACAGAUGGAUGACAUUUCAAUUUCUAUUUGACCAAAAUUUUGUAUAUAUAUAUGACUCUUACUCCUCAUCAAAGCACAUUAACAUCCCACAAUUUUCACCCAAUAUUUUUUGCGCACACUGAAGUGAAUAAACAAUCUAAAGGCAUGUCCUAAAUUUGUGCGUGCGUGCGUGUGUGCGUGCGUGCGUGUGUGUGCGCGUGUGUGUAUGCGUGCGUGCGUAAUUAGAAGUAGUAUAAUUAGUAUAUACUAGAAGUAUAUAUAUAUAUAUAUAUGUAUUACAGUUAGUCAAAACUAUAGAAACAGAAAGAAGAUGAAAUAGACAGAAAAAAAACUUUUAAUUCGAGUCCAUACAAACUACUGUGUCUCCCUAGGAAAUUUAAUCCACUCACUGUACCAGAGGUUACGGAUUAUCUAUUCAAAAAGUUGCACGAUCAUCAAUCACUUGACUCUACAAUUUUCUGUUUUUCAUCCAUCUUGAUGCUGAAUGAAGUUAUUUCGAGUUAGGCUUACUGGAUAUCGCUGUUCGUGGACCACUUUGGGAGCAUGCUAGUGUGGUGAUGUAUGGCAGUAGGCAGUAGCAAAUAUCAUCUAAAUACUCAUAAUAUUUACAUGGUAUUUCUAAAAAGGGAGUGAACCAGUACACUUAUUUCGUAUCAUGAAACUAUUAACUACCAGCAAUAACUAAAUAGACCAUGUAGUGGCCACUGCUAGCAGAGGUGACUUCCUACGAAUCGCGAUGCCACUGACUUCGGUCAUAUCCAAAUCUUCCAGUUUUAACCCUUCUGGCAAUGCAAAAUUGAACUUGUGCACAAGUCUUGCUAAUGCUAGCUCAUUCAUCACAACAGCAAAAGCAUUUCCUGGGCAGCCCCUUCUACCUGCUCCAAACGGAAUCAACUCAAAGUUUAAUCCUUUGACAUCAAUAGGACUAUUUAAGAACCUCUCUGGUACUCCUCUGAAUUUUCCCAUGAUAAAGGAUCUCUUCCGAUUGUCCAAGCAUUGAUAAUGAAUUGAGUUUCAGCAACUAUGUGGUAGCCAAGUAUAUUUAUGUCUUCAAUUUAUUCUUGAGGAACUAAUAGUGGAAUCGGUGGAUGAAGCCUCAGAGUGUCUUUGAUCACUGCUUUCAGAUAGUGCAUAUUUCCCAAGUCAUCCUCUGUUACUUCUGCUUUCCCUUGGGCUAAUCCUCGCACUUCAUUCUUUAAUUUCUCCAUGGCUCUUGGAUGGCUUAAAAGCUCUGUCAUUAUCCACUCUAAAGCUGUAUACGUUGUAUCCGUACCACCAGCAAAAUUAUCCUACGCAUUUAAAAGAAACACAUACACAAAAAAACUAUAAGUGUUAUGCUGGAUUAUGCAUGUAUGAUUAGGUGCAUGUGGAAGCAUAACAAUAAUAUUCUACAUCACAAAGUAUUUAACAACGAAACAACAUAGUAGUACGAAUUCUAAUUAAGAGAGAUGCUUACUUACCAAGAUGAUAGCUUUCAUUGAAUCCCUUUAAAGAAGAAAGCCAGUUUCCUUACCAUUCUGAAUUUCCAACAAAACGUCUACGAAGUCUUUAGUACUAUAUUCUCCUUUCCUGUGCCUACUAAUGUGUUCUUCAAUCACACUCUCCAAAAAUGUAUUCAAAUCUUUAGCAACUUUCUCCACUUUGGUGUCAAGACCAGUGAUUCUAUUGACCCAUUCAAGCCGUGGAAUAUAAUCCCCAAUGCUAAAAGUACCCAAAAGUUUGAGAAAUUCAUCUAAAGUAACCUUUGCAUUCAUCCCACCUUCUGUGUCAUUAUAUUUCCUCCCUAAGGCCACUCUGCUAACGAUGUUGUUGGUGAGAGAACAGAAACAAUCUCUUAAAAUCUAUCACUGAACUCGAAGAAUAACACUCUUUGCUGAUUUUUUCAAUCAUAUUCGAUGUUUCCUCUUCUCUCACAUGAGAAUAAGAUAGGAUUCUUUUGUUGUUGAAAAGGUGAAGCACGGUGACACUUCUAAUUUGUCUCCAGUAUUCCCCAUAGCCCUUUCUCAUCCUUACACUGCGUUGGAUGUUACUAAUCUAUUCAUGGAGCACGUAUUUAAACUACAGUCUUCGUGAAGACAUUGUUAGUGACAUGGAUCCCAUCUUUACUAGCAAGGUGUGGCAAAAGUUAUAUGCUAUGCAAGGUGUGACACUGAAGAUUUCCACAGCACACCAUCCUCAAACCGACGGACAAGCUGACAUGUGAACAGCUAUUUAAAGACAUAUCUUAGGUGCAAUUGUGCAGAUUCUCCGAAGGACUGGACUCAUUAUUUGGUAUUUGCUGAGUGGUGGUACAACACUACUUUCCACAGUUCCACACAACCUCCCCCUUGCAUUUGCCUUACUUAUAAGGUGAUUCUGAGCUCAUUGAGGUGGAUAGGAGCUUGGUUACCAGAGAGUUCAACCUGCAGAUGCUCAAAUUUCACCUCAGUAGGGUGCAACAACAAUGGUUGAUUAGGCUAACAAGAGAGAUCAGACAUAAAAUUUCAAUUUGUAGAUUGUGUCUUCUGAAAGGUCCAACCUUAUAGGCAGAUCACACUAUGCAACAAACAUUUUAUCAAACUCUCUUACAAGUAUUAUGGCCCUUAUCAUGUCCUUCAUGUGGUAGGUGUUUGAUUUUAUUUGCCCUGAUUUCUUACCCUAAAUAAGUUUUCCUUUUAGGAAGAGGUUUUGAAUUGACUAAUCUUUUUUCUUGUAGGAAAAUUCUUAGUACUCUAUAAAUAGAGGCAUGUUCCUUCUAGCUUAAUCAGCAUGCAAUCUUAAGGGUUUUGAGAGUUUUUGUUAUGGGGAGAAAUUGUGGGUAUUGAUACGUUAUCACUUGUAUGAACCUCCCAUGUAUUCUGAGUGAAUUGGUUGAUGUUGUUUCUCUCUGUAUUUUGUAUUCUCUUAUUUAUAGUGGAUUGCUCAUCUCCUUUGUGGAUGUAGGUCGAUUGACCAAACCACGUUAAAUCUGUGUUUUUCGAUAUAUUUCUCGUCUAUCUUCUUACUCGUGGUCUUUAGAGGUUCGCUUUUUUGCCUUCCGCGUUUACACCUGCUUAUUUUGAUCAAGCCACAGGGUGGAAUAUACAUACACUGAAGAUCCGAUUUCAAGCAAUUUCUCUUCCUUGAGGUCAAAGAAGUAUCUCUGAGGGGGUAUUCAUAUGAUAUGGGCCAGCAACAAUUGGUUAAUAUAGUUAAUAACUUCACCAUUAACUAUAUUGAGCCUUUAUCUUAUUUUAUCGCCUUUACAUAUUAGUCCUUGUAUUUUAAAUUUUUGCAUCACUACCUAGGGUUGUUAUAACCAUCAGUUUACGUAAGAAAGGCAGUCGAUGAGAAUUUUGUCUUCUUCUUCUUCUUUCCAUAGCUUAUAUUCUUAAUUGUUUUCUUUGUCUUUCGAUUGGAGUUUGUUGAAUGCCUUGAAUCGGACCCGUUACAACAGAAAGGACGGGGGUCUCGCUAUGUUGUUGUAUUGGGCCCUUAAUUAUCUGUCAAUUCUGUAUGUUGGACCCAAGCCUGUUAGGGCGUAGCUUAGCACUAUAUAUAGACGCUAUGGCAAACCCUAUUCUGUAUUCUGUUUUUGCCUCUCCAUAAUAAAACUGCUUCCUCUCUUCCCCGUGGACGUAGCCAAUUUAUUGGUGAACCACAUAAAUCUGUUGUCUUGUUUUUCACAUUUAUAUUUUCUCGUAUUAUCUCAAAUUCCGCACAACAGAGUUAUCACAGUACAUAUCAGAUAGAGAUUCAAUUGAUUAGAUGAUAGUUAGGACACGUAAAAAGUUGUAAAUCUAGGUAGGUGUGAUAAAAUCUCCAUGCAUGACUAAUUAGCAGAAAAUUAAAUAUUCUACAAUCAGUAACUCUCUUUUUUUUCAUUUAUCUAUGAAAAGUUCCACAACAAAAAUCUAAAAAUUAAAAUUCAAAGCUUCACAUAGAUAAUACUAAAAAAGAUGAAAAUUACCUUGUGAUUUUAUUUACAUGAAAUUGAAUUACUAUAAAAGUGCAAUUUGAUUUCAUGAUUUUAGAAUUAUCUCAUGAAAUAUCAAAUUAGCCAUAUUUUUUAUGAUUUCAUUCCAUAAUUUCACAUUUUUUUUAUAUAAAAAUUGACCCAUAAUUUAAUAUUUGUAAAAACAGAAAUUCAUCAUUUGGUAUUAACAUAAUUUUUGCAAAAAUAAUGAAGGAGUAAUGAAAUUUUCACAAAAUAUAAACUUGAUGAUAUAUUUACUAACGAUAUUGAUUGAUACACAACUCAAUGUAAAAAAAAAUAAAAUAGUACACUUCAACUCAUGUUCAAAUUUUACCUUCUUAUGAGUUAAAGUUUCUCAAUUAUUUGUAGUUUGCAUCACCUUUAUUCUAUAAGGAGUUUAGGACCUUCAUGAAAGAAUUAUAACAUGUUUAGUUGAGUUUCUAAAAAUCAACUCAAUUAGAUAAACAUUUUUUCAAGUGUUUCUUUUUUUUUUUAAAAAAAAUAAUAAAAAUACGUUUAAGUGAAAAACAGUGUUCGAUAAAUUAAUUAUAAAAGCCUUUUUAGGCAACUUAAAGUUCCAUAAAUUUUCAAAAAACUAUUUCUAAGAAAGUAUAAAUAUAGAUUCUAAAAAUUAUUUAUAAAUAAGUACUUUGGAAGAAAAUCUACUUUUUCCAUUUUGGAAACAACUUUUGCUAAUUUCAAAAGCACUUAUUUUUUUCCAAAGUUUAACCAAAAGCUUAGCAAACAUGGUAUAAGCUUACUGUGCUUGGAAAUACAUAUGAAACUGGAUAAAGAAUCUAAUGUGUACUACGUAAACACAGAAACGAAAAACACAAGUUCAUCGAAACACAAACAUUUACUCCACACCUUUAGCUCAUGAGCGAGUAUCUUCUUAAAGUUGUCAAACUGCACGAGAUUUCACCUCAUCCACUUUCCAGAUGUCUUCUUCAUACUUAUACCACCUCAUAAACCCUUGAUCAUUUAGAGCGCUGACACAUGAUGCAUGAGUCACUCAUGCAGGUUAGGAAUUUAUCGAACCUAUACGCUUUUUCAAGAAUUGAUUUAUCAAGCUCGGUCAGAAUUCUCAUCGGCUCGAGUGGAGGGUCUUCAGUAACUAUGCAAUAUGAUAUGUUAAGCACUUUCAACUUUUUUAACUCCUCCAAGAUUAGAGCCAGAGCAGGUUUAGAUAACACCAUGCAUCUCAGACUCAAUAUUUCCAAGUUUAGAAGAAAUGAAGCCAGUGCAGAUGCAAAGAGCUUAUCACAGGGCCCUACAACUUUAAGCAUGGAAAUUUUUUUGGCAACUCCUUCCAAUUUCCUCAAUGACACGUGCAUGAUUAUUUAUUCUUGGCAUCAUUAGUGAUUCAAGAUCUUUCGAUAUAUGAAUAGCCCUGCAUAUUGUUCGCUUUUUAAUUUUGUUCCAAGAAGGCAUAACAAGGAGUUUAAGUUGUGGACACCUGAAAAAGACGAGAUCUAAUUAGCUAUUUUAUUCAUUUGUCACAGUAAUCUUGCUUCUCUAAGAAUAAUGGAAACUCAUAGAGAUCUGAUAUCUCUGAAACUUUGCUUGUUGUAUGGUUUCUUGAUUUAAGUUAUAAUUAAAACACUAUAGAAAGAUGAAAGUUUAUCGGGGGAAAACCUCUCGGCAGCAAAAGUUAAUUGAUUGUCGUUAACAUACAAAUUGGGAUGGAAGAUCAAUGUUUGUAUGCUUCCACGACUGAGGUUCAAGCAAUUAUUUAGGACUCGGGUCAAUCUUUCUUCAGACGGACUGUCGACGUAUACAUACGACAUCAAAGGGAGUCUGAUGAAAUUCGAUUGUAACACGGACGAGUCCAGCGUUUUCCAGAGACGUGGAUCACAACAAGUCAAUCCCCAUGCACGACAAAUUUGAGGAAUUGUAUAUAUCAACUGGAAAAGGCCAAAAGGACAAGAAUAUCAUCACCAAGAUAUUAAUAUCAAGGUCCUCCCAUAUCCUUACAGAAGAAUAUUCGUUUCCCGUAGCAACAACUUCAAUCUUUCUUUUUUUCUGAAACUCCAUAAGUCUUCAAUCUUCUAAACUCCUGUAGAAACAAGAAAGGUUAUUAUUUCUCUAGAUCUAUGAAAAAUUGAUGAUGGUGAUUGACUAUUUGUAUCACAUCAUGAAGAAUAAAAAGUCAAGCCCUACAAUACGAUGAAAUAUAGAAGAAUGCACAAAUACGUCUGAAGGGUACUAUAAUGCCUAGUAUUUCAAAAGCUAGGAAUAUAUAACCUGGAACAGUUGGUUGCAGUUAACGACAUAGAACUAUGUUCAGCUUGCUGGCAUAGUUGAUAGAAGUAUCACAUUUCCGAUAAAAUAAUCAUUACUAAAAGCAAAAUUAUACAAAAACGGAGGAAGUAACAUUGGUUUGCAAAAAAAUUACAUGUAGAGGAAAAUUGGAUGUCCGAAACACAAGGGUUGAAAAGUUGAAGUCUUGUUGUAUUUUUUGAAGAGCAACACAAGUACAAAUUAAAGAGAACUGGUAUGGUCCUUUUGUACACAUCCUCUCUAAGCGAAUUCAAAUUUUCAAUACUACUUUACAAUAACUAAAUGAAUGAUAUGUACAUUGAGGAUUCAUAUAGCUAUUAUUUUAUGUACAAAUUAAAUCGUUCUAUAAAAAAAAUGAAAAUUCAAUAAAUGAAAACCAACCUUGGCAAAUAGUUAAACAUUAAUAACAAGAAAACACACAUUUUAUCAUACAACAUUAAAUUGCUAGUAAUUGAAAUAUCUAGAAAACCUUGAAUUCAGAUCUAUAUGAGCAGAAAUCAAAUUGCUAAAAAAGAGAAGAAAAAAAUUUCAAAAGAAGUUUACCGAAUUUUUUCAACACCCACAAUAACUUUUGUAAUCAAAAUGUGACAUGAAUAAAGAAUUAAUCAGAAAAACAAUCAUGGAGAAUGUAGGUAGAAGAUAAGACAGAGAGAGAUUUAGGACAUGCCUUUAGAUUGUUUAAUCAAUUCAAUGCGCACAAAAAAAUAUUGGGUGAAAUUGUGGGAUGAUAGUGUGUUUUGAUGAGGAGUGAGUAUAUAAACGAAAUUUUGGUCAAACAGAAGUUGAAAUGUCACCCACCUGUAAUUGAUUCUGGUCAACAACCAUUUAUGUUUUUUUCCUACUAGUGUUGGACACGUGCGUCUCAUGUUAGUCAACAUAUAACACGGACAAGUCCAACGUUUUCCAGAGAUGUGGAUCACAACAAGUCAAUCGCCAUGCACGACAAACUUGAGGAAUUGCAUAUAUCAACUGGAAAAGGCCAAAGGACAAGAAUAUCAUCACCAAGAUAUUAAUAUCAAGGUCCUCCCAUCUCCUUACAGAAGAAUCUUCGUUUUCCAUAGCAACAACUUCAAUCUUUCUUUUUUUUCUUAAACUUUAUAAGUCUUCAAUGUCCUAAACUCAUGUAGAAACAAGAAAGAUUAUUACUUCUCUAGAUCCAUGAAGAAUAUAUGUAUUUCUGCCUCAAAUUGAUGAUGGUAAUUGACUUUUUGUAUCACAUCAUGCAGAAUAAAAAGUCAAGCCCUGCAAUACGAUUAAAUAUAGAAGAGUGCACAAAUACGUGUGGGGGGUACUAUGAUGCCUAGUAUUUCAAAAACUAGGAAUAUAUAACCUGGAAAAGUUGGUUGCAUUUAACAACAUAGAACUAUGUUCUUGCUUGCAUAGUUGAUAAAAGUAUCACAUUCCUUAUAAAAUAAUCAUUACUAAAAGCAAAAUCAUACAAAAACGGAGGAAGUAACAUUGAUUUGCACAAAAAUUACACGUAGAGGAAAAUUGGAUGUCCGAAACACAAGGGUUGAAUAGUUGAAGUCUUUUUGUAUGUUUUGAAGAGCAACACAAAUACAAAUUAAAGAGAACAGGUAUGGUUCUUUUGUACACAUCCUCUCUAAGCAAAUUCAAAUUUUCAAUACUACUUUCCAAUAACUAAAUGAAGUGAUAUGUACAUUAAAGGAUUCAUACAUCUAUUAUUUUAUGUACAAAUUAAAUCGUUCUAUAAACAAAAUGAAAAUUCAAAAAGGAAAACCAACCUUGGCAAAUAGUUAAACAUUAAUAACAAGAAAACACACAUUUUAUCAUACCAUAUUAAAUUGCUAGUAAUUGAAAUAUUUAGAAAAUCUUGAAUUCAGAUCUAUAUGAGCAAAAAUCAAAUAACUAAAAAAGAGAGAAAAAAAUUUCACAAGAUGUUUACCGAAUUUUUUCAACACCCACAAUAAUUUUUGUAAUCAAGAUGUGACAUGAGUAAAGAAUUAAUCAGAAAAACAACCAUGGAGAAUGUAGGUAGAAGAUAAGAUAGAGAGAGAUUUAGGAUAUGCCUUUAGAUUGUUUAAUCACUUCAAUGUGCGCAAAAAUAUUGGGUGAAAUUGUGGGAUGUUAGUGUGUUUUGAUGAGGAGUGAGAGUCAUAUAUUUACGAAAUCUUGGUCAAAUAGAAGUUGAAAUGUCACCUGCCUGAAUUGAUUCUGGUCAACAACCAUUAAUGUUUUUUCCUACUAGUGCAGGACACGUGCGUUGCACGUGUGUCUCAUGUUUGUCAACAUAUAACACGGACAAGUCCAGGUUUUCCGAAGACGUGGAUCACAACAAGUCAAUUGCCAUGCACGUCGAACUUGAGAAAUUGCAUGUAUCCACUGGAAAAGGCCAAAGGACAAGAAUAUCAUCACCAAGAUAUUACUAUCAAAGUCCUCCCAUCUCCUUACAGAAGAAUCUUCGUUUUCCAUAGCAACAACUUCAAUCUUUUUUUUUCGUGAAACUCCAUAAGUCUUCAAUCUCCUAAACUCCUGUAGAAACAAGAAAGGUUAUUACUUCUCUAGAUUUAUAAAGAAAAUAUGAAUUUCUGUCGUCAAAUUUAUGAUGGUGAUUGACUUUUUGUGUCACAUCAUGAAGAAUAAAAAGUCAAGCCCUGCAAUACGAUGAAAUAUAGAAGAGUGCACAAAUAUGUCUGAGGGGUACUAUGAUGCCUAAUAUUUCAGAAACUAGGACUUUACUACCUGGAAAAGUUGGUUGCAGUUAACGACAUAGAACUAUGUUCUUGCGGGCAUAGUUGAUAGAAGUAUCACAUUUACGAUAAAAUAAUCACUACUAAAAGCAAAAUCAUAUAAAAACAGAGGAAGUAACAUAUUUGUAGAAAAAUUCCAUGUAGAGGAAAAUGGAUGUCCGAAACACAAGGGUUGAAAAGUUGAAUGCUUGUUGUAUGUUUUGAAGAGCAAGACAAGUAUAAGUUAAAGAGAACUGGUAUGGUCCUUUUGUUCACAUCCUCUCUAAGAGAAUUCAAAUUUUCAAUACUACUUUACAAUAACUAAAUGAAGUGAUAUGUACAUUGAGGAUUCAUAUAGCUAUUAUUUUAUGUACAAAUUAAAUCGUUCUAUAAACAAAAUAAAAAUUCGAUAAAUAAAAACCAACCAUCGUAAAUAGUUAAACAUUAAUAACAAGAAAACACACAUUUUAUCAUACCAUAUUAAAUUGCUAGUAAUUGAAAUAUUUAGAAAACCUUGAAUUCAGAUCUAUAUGAGCAAAAAUCAAAUUGCUAAAAAGAAGAGAAAAAAUUUCUCAAGAAGUUUACUGUAUUUUUCUAACACCCACAAUAACUUUUGUAAUCAAGAUGUGACACGAGUAAAGAAUUAAUUAGAAAAACAACCAUGGAGAAUGUAGGUAGAAGAUAAGAGAGAGAUUUUGGACAUACCUUUAGAUUGUUUAAUCACUUCAAUGUGUGCAAAAAAUAUUGGGUGAAAUUGUGGGAUGUUCAUGUGUUUUGAUGAGGAGUGAGAGUCGUAUAUAUACGAAAUCUUGGUCAAAUAGAAGUUGAAAUGUCACCCGCCUGUAAUUGAUUCUAGUCAACAACCAUUAAUGUUUUUUUCCUACUAGUGCUGGACACGUGCGUUGCCUGUGUGUCUCAUGUUAGUCAACAUAUAACACGGACAAGUCCAGCGUUUUCCAGAGACGUGGAUCACAACAAGUCAAUGGCCAUGCACGACAAACUUGAGAAAUUGCAUAUACCAACUGGAAAAGGCCUAAGGACAAGAAUAUCAUCACCAAGAUAUUAAUAUCAAGGUUCUCACAUCUCCUUACAGAAGAAUCUCCGUUUCCCAUAGCAACAACUUCAAUCUUUCUUUUUUUCUGAAACUCCAUAUGUCUUCAAUCUCCUAAACUCCUGUAGAAACAAGAAAGGUUAUUACUUCUCUAGAUCCAUGAAGAAUAUAUGAAUUUAUGUCGUCAAAUUGAUGAUGGUUAUUGAAUUUUUAUAUUACAUCAUGAAAAAUAGAAAUUCAAGCCCUGCAAUACGAUGAAAUAUAGAAGAGUGCACAAAUAUGUCUUAGGGGUACUAUGAUGCCUAUUAUUUCAGAAACUAGGAGUUUAUUACUUGGAAAAGUUGGUUGCAGUUAACGACAUAGAACUAUGUUCUUGCUGGCAUAUUUGAUAGAAGUAUCAUAUUUUCGAUAAAAUAAUCAUUACUAAAAGCAAAAUCAUACAAAAACAGAGGAAGUAACAUUGAUUUGCAGAAAAAUUCCAUGUAGAGGAAAAUUGGAUGUCCGAAACACAAGGAUUGAAAAGUUGAACGCUUGUUGUAUGUUUUGAAGAGCAAGACAAGUACAAGUUAAAGAGAACUGUUAUGGUCCUUUUGUACACAUCCUCUCUAAGAAAAUUCAAAUUUUCAAUGCUAAUUUACAAUAACUAAAUGAAGUGAUAUUUUAAGUACAAAUUAAAUCGUUCUAUAAACAAAAUGAAAGUUCAAAAAAUGAAAAACAACCUUGGCAAACAGUUAAACAUUAAUAACAAGAAAAAACGCAUUUUAUCAUACAACAUUAAAUUGCCAGUAAUUGAAAUAUUUAGAAAACCUUGAAUUUCAGAUCUAUAUGAGCAAAAAUCAAAUUGCUAAAAAAGAGAAAAAAUUCACAAGAAGUUUACCAAAUUUUUCAACACCCACAAUAACUUUUGUAAUCAAGAUGUGACAUGAGUAAAGAAUUAACCAGAAAAACAUCCAUGGAGAAUGUAGGUAGAAGAUAAGACAAUGAGAGAUUUAGGACAUGCCUUUAGAUUGUUUAAUCACUUCAAUGUCCGCAAAAAAUAUUGGGUGAAAUUUUGGGAUGUUAGUGUGUUUUGAUGAGGAGUGAGAGUCGUAUAUAUACAAAAUCUUGGUCAAAUAGAAAUUGAAAUGUCAUCCACCUGUAAUUGAUUAUGGUCAACAACCACUAAUAUUUUUUCCUAAUAGUUCUAGACACUUGCGUUGCACGUGUGUCUCAUGUUAGUCAACAUAUAACACGGACAAGUUAGUGUUUUCCAGAGACGUGGAUCACAACAAGUCAAUGACCAUGCACGACAGACUUGAAGAAUUGCAUAUAUCAACUGGAAAAGGCCAAAUGACAAGAAUAUCAUAACCAAGAUAUUAAUAUCAAGGUCUUCCCAUCUCCUUACAAAAGAAUCUUCGUUUCCCAUAGCAACAACUUCAAUCUUUCUUUUGUUCUGAAACUCCAUAAGUCUUCAAUCUCCUAAACUCCUGUAGAAAAAGGAAGGGUUAUUACUUCUCUAGAUCCAUGAAGAAUAUAUGAAUUUGUGCCGUCAAAUUGAUGAUGGUGAUUGACUUUUUGUAUCACAUCAUGAAGAAUAUAAAGUCAAGCCCUGCAAUACGAUGAAAUAUAGAAGAGUGCACAAAUACGUCUGAGGGGUACUAUGAUGCCUAAUAUUGCAAAAGCUAGGAAUAUAUCCCCUGGAACAGUUGAUUGCAGUUAACGACAUAGAACUAUGUUGUUGCUGGAAUAGUUGAUAGAAGUAUCACAUUCCUUAUAAAAUAAUCAUUACUAAAAGCAAAAUCAUACAAAAACGGAGGAUGUAAAAUUGAUUUGCACAAAAAUUACAUGUAGAGGAAAAUUGGAUGUCCGAAACACAAGGGUUAAAAAGUUCAAGUCUUGUUGUAUGUUUUGAAGAGCAACACAAGUACAAACUAAAGAGAAUUGGUAUGGUUCUUUUGUACAUAUCCUCUCUAAGCAAAUUCAAAUUUUCAAUACUACUUUCCAAUAACUAAAUGAAGUGAUAUGUACAUUGAGGAUUCAUAUAGCUAUUAUUUUAUGUACAAAUUAAAUCGUUUUAUAAACAAAAUGAAAAUUCAAAAAUGAAAACCAACCUUGGCAAAUAGUUAAACAUUAAUAACAACAAAACACACAUUUUAUCAUACCACAUUAAAUUUCUACUAAUUGAAACAUUUAGAAAACCUUGAAUUCAGAUCAACAUGAGCAAAAAUCAAAUUUCUAAAAAAGAGAGAAAAAAAUUUCACAAGAUGUUUACCGAAUUUUUUCAACACCCACAAUAACUUUUGUAAUCAAGAUGUGACAUGAGUAAAGAAUUAAUCAGAAAAACAACCAUGGAGAAUGUAGGUAGAAGAUAAGACAGAGAGAGAUUUAGGACAUGCCUUUAGAUUGUUUAAUCACUUCAAUGUGUGCAAAAAAUAUUGGUGAAAUUGUGGGAUGUUAGUGUGUUUUUAUGAGGAGUGAGAGUCGUAUAUAUAUGAAAUAUUGGUCAAAUAGAAGUUGAGAUGUCACCCGCCUGUAAUUGAUUCGGGUCAACAACCAUUAAUGUUUUUUUCCUACUAGUGCUGGACACGUGCGUUGCACGUGUGUCUGAUGUUAGUCAACAUAUACCACGGACAAGUCCAGCGUUUUCCAGAGACGUGGAUCACAACAAGUCAAUCGCCAUGCACGAAAAACUUGAGGAAUUGCAUAUAUCAACUAGAAAAGGCCAAAGGACAAGAAUAUCAUCACCAAGAUUUUUAUAUCAAGGUCUUCCCAUCUCCUUACAGAAGAAUCUUCGUUUUCCAUAGCAACAACUUCAAUCUUUUUUUUUUCCUGAAACUCCAUAAGUCUUCAAUCUCCUAAACUCCUUAGAAACAAGAAAGGUUAUUACUUCUCUAGAUCCUUGAAGAAUAUAUGAAUUUCUGUCGUCAAAUUGAUGAUGGUUAUUGAAUUUUCGUAUUACAACCAUUAAUAAUUUUUUCCUAUUUACUCUCCUACCUGUUUUUUUGAUAAAUGACCAAAAAAAAAUC
rnacentral:lncRNA from 1 species